rnacentral:lncRNA from 1 species
GGCCUAUCGACCAAUAACUUUGGUCAUUUUCAUGAUCAUAGAUUGCAGUUAAAUGGACAUAUCAGAGGAAUUCACUAAAACAAGGGCAUUACAUUAGCAGAAAAGCACAUGGAAGGAGACAACUGAAGUGUUGCUUCCCUGUACUCCCAUAAAACCAUUAAAAUGGAACAAAUGAGAGAAAGGAAACAGAAAUCAUAAAUCAACGUUAAUUUGCUCCAUCUACAAGGGGAUGUGAUCUCAACAGUCCUGUUGGCACUUGGCCUGGAAAAGGAGAGAGAGAGAGAGAGAGAGAGAGAGAGAGAGAGAGAGAGAGCUCUUCUUGUUGAACAAACAAAACUNNNNNNNNNNNNNNNNNNNNNNNNNNNNNNNNNNNNNNNNNNNNNNNNNNNNNNNNNNNNNNNNNNNNNNNNNNNNNNNNNNNNNNNNNNNNNNNNNNNNNNNNNNNNNNNNNNNNNNNNNNNNNNNNNNNNNNNNNNNNNNNNNNNNNNNNNNNNNNNNNNNNNNNNNNNNNNNNNNNNNNNNNNNNNNNNNNNNNNNNNNNNNNNNNNNNNNNNNNNNNNNNNNNNNNNNNNNNNNNNNNNNNNNNNNNNNNNNNNNNNNNNNNNNNNNNNNNNNNNNNNNNNNNNNNNNNNNNNNNNNNNNNNNNNNNNNNNNNNNNNNNNNNNNNNNNNNNNNNNNNNNNNNNNNNNNNNNNNNNNNNNNNNNNNNNNNNNNNNNNNNNNNNNNNNNNNNNNNNNNNNNNNNNNNNNNNNNNNNNNNNNNNNNNNNNNNNNNNNNNNNNNNNNNNNNNNNNNNNNNNNNNNNNNNNNNNNNNNNNNNNNNNNNNNNNNNNNNNNNNNNNNNNNNNNNNNNNNNNNNNNNNNNNNNNNNNNNNNNNNNNNNNNNNNNNNNNNNNNNNNNNNNNNNNNNNNNNNNNNNNNNNNNNNNNNNNNNNNNNNNNNNNNNNNNNNNNNNNNNNNNNNNNNNNNNNNNNNNNNNNNNNNNNNNNNNNNNNNNNNNNNNNNNNNNNNNNNNNNNNNNNNNNNNNNNNNNNNNNNNNNNNNNNNNNNNNNNNNNNNNNNNNNNNNNNNNNNNNNNNNNNNNNNNNNNNNNNNNNNNNNNNNNNNNNNNNNNNNNNNNNNNNNNNNNNNNNNNNNNNNNNNNNNNNNNNNNNNNNNNNNNNNNNNNNNNNNNNNNNNNNNNNNNNNNNNNNNNNNNNNNNNNNNNNNNNNNNNNNNNNNNNNNNNNNNNNNNNNNNNNNNNNNNNNNNNNNNNNNNNNNNNNNNNNNNNNNNNNNNNNNNNNNNNNNNNNNNNNNNNNNNNNNNNNNNNNNNNNNNNNNNNNNNNNNNNNNNNNNNNNNNNNNNNNNNNNNNNNNNNNNNNNNNNNNNNNNNNNNNNNNNNNNNNNNNNNNNNNNNNNNNNNNNGAGAGAGAGAGAGAGCUCUCUUGUUGACAACAAACAAAAAGUCUUGCCUUCUUGCUUGGCACUACCAGAUCGAGCCACUCACUCCAGAAAGCUACCUAGCUUUCACAUGCCUUGAGAGCAAAACUUUGCACAUCAUCGAAACAUACACAUGGAACUAAACCUUUCUGUUGAAAUUAUAGAACCAAGGCAGGCACUCCUACCAAUUUCUGCCAAAGGAAUAUCUGAUGCAAGCUAUGUAGCUGCUCCUUGGGCAGCUUCUGGGAAGCUUCCAGAAACCAAAUCUUUUGAUCAGGUGCCUACAGAUAAAAAUAACAAUAAGAUCAAACCAAAUAGCUUCAAUUUAAAUUGAAGAAAGAAAAGGAAAAAAAAAACAAUACACAUGCUACCAUAUACUACCGAUUAAACAACACUUUUGUAGCUAAAAUUCACCAGGACAUGUUCCUACUCUUUUGGUCAUUUAACAUAGACAGAAGUAAAUUGAAAAAGUGGAUAAUUUACUCUGCUUUUCAGUUUCAAACAGAAAUUUACCAUUGAUAUCAACUAUUGGUCAGAACUUAGUACAUAUGAUCAACCGUUAAGUAGCACAUCCUAAUCAAUUUAUUCGAUCAAUUCAUAGAUAAGAAGUAGAUUAAAUAACAAUACUUAAUUUAACUCCAAAUAUGAGAAAUACAACAUUUUAUUUUCUCGACACAUUAUUUUUCAGCCUGAUCAUCUUAGGACCACUCACACAGUUAUGACAACCUUGAGCUAUGCCAUCUCCAACUUGUAAGCAUGUUUAGAUCCAAAUACUGAUCUAGUACAAGAAAAUCAACAACAAAAAGAAUACGUGAUGUCCCAACACCAUUUCAAUGGAUUGGACUUUGUUUAGGACAAUAUCACUAGUCAAAGACUCAAAACUAAGAGAAGACGAAUAUAUUUAGUUAUUAUUUCGAAUUAAGUUUACAUGAUCCAUUGCUUAUAAAGAAUUCACACAACAGAAUGAUGGUUCGUUAAAUCUCUUCCACCUGUUUAUUUUUCAGCUUGCUGAAUUUAGGGCCUCAAAUCCAUCUCCGAGUCACUCAUUUGAGAUAUUUAUUAAAAAGGAUAUUACAGACCAUGAAAAAUACAAAAAGACUCUGCCAGGUCAGUUGAUGCUGUGACGGCAAGGUCUCAGCACUUUGCAUGGUCAUCGGUGUCCUACCACCACAGCAGCCUGAAAUCUGAAUCAGCAUAGAGCCCAUUGCCAUAUUAAAGUGGUGCCAAUGCCAAGACCAGCUCAUCAUCACAGCUGCAUGACUUUGCCUUGUAGACCAACUUAUCUCAAUACUAAACUAAUAAAACUGAUUAAAAUCUAAUAAAUAGCCCGAUCGUUGGUUACAAACACCAGCUUGCACAGCCAAACCCCAAGAACAAAACCUUAAAUGGCAUUUCCAUGUCCCAAAACCCAACUAUUAUUCCAUAAAAGACAUGUCAUACAAUAGAGCUACAGAUAUUCAACAUUAUGCUCCUGUGUCAUCUUUGAGACAAGUCUUGUUGCACAACAAGUUCAAUUACCUAUCUAGCGCAUACUAGGUACUCCUUACAAUGGACAACCACAAAAAACAAGUCCACCAAACUUCUAUUGUCUGCAUAACUUCUGUGUCGCAAUACUGUCCACUCAACCCAAAUGCGAUUGUCACGACCCACAUAUAAAGACUCUUCUAUGAAAUGCUCAUCUGCAUCACUAUGAAAUGCUUGUUUCCAGACAGAUGAAGUGCAAACUCACUUCACAUUUCCUCCCACAUAUGAAGACUCUUCUAUGAACAAGACUAAAAUGAACAUCCUUUGCACCACCAUUCUUAUUAGUGUAUCCUAUCUCAAACAUCCUUGGGGGGAAUUCCUAAUCUCCUUAAUGGUUAUCUGAACUAGCUCAAACCCAAAAGUUCUCUUCCCCAGCUCUCCCAAGAUCUAAAAGAUCACCAGAACACAAUUGCUCGGAAUGUUCAAGACAUCAAAUUGUAGGACAAAUAUUGUUAUGCGUAACAGUGACGGAAGCACCCAAUCUCUUUUGCUGAGCACGAGCACAAAAUCAUUCCAAUCUCUAUCUUAUAAUCAAUUACUUCCUGAAAUGUCCUAAAAUCCUGUUAUGUGUCUAUCUUAUAAAAAUCACUUCCUGAAAUGUCCAAAAAUACUGUUAUGAUUCUAUAGUUCUAUCAUUAUGUGCCUCAUGCAACAAUAUUGAAAUUGUCUUAGCCAGCUUUUUUGAACUAUAUCACAUAAAAGUAGAAAUGAAAAUGUGCACAUCACAAAAAAAAUCGGCCACACUAGAAUACCACUUGAUAAUCUUGCUGGUACCGAGUUGUAUGACCUAAUACCAAUGGCCAAUUCUUAUAACCUUGAAUCCCAUCCCCAUCUGGCCCCCCUACCUGUCAUCUUUCCCUCAAGCAUAAUUAAUCCACUCAUAGCUGAUUUUGCCUAUUGCUGACCCCCUCUUCCUUGCUGCUGCCUCGCCCGCUCUGCCAACAACACAUGCCACAGCAACUUGAUCUCAGCCCCCCAACUCCAUCUUGUGAUCUCAUGUCCUUAUGUUUCACCAACCACCCCUAUCAGUUGCCCACCAUCAUGGGCAUCUGCCUCAUCACUGACUUCUCCUCCGCCUCCAAUUUGUGCCUCCCUCAAGGCUGGCACCACCUACCCCCAUUGCCAGAGUGCUAUUAUCUCUGCCUUCAUGUUGGUCAAUGCCACCCACACCAACGAGUUUGCCCUUGCAACGUGGCCACCACCAUAGUGAUCUGGACCUGUUCCUGCCUUUGAAAGUUGAAAGCGUUGGCACAGACAGGUAAUGCUACCAGACUGAGAUUUUAGUCCAUGGUCGUACUAAAGACUUGUUAUCUUUGCAAUAAAAUUAACUGUUAACGUCUGUUCAAGGGUGAUGUGUCCCAGUUGAGUUGAAUAUCGACUUGAAAUUUGGUACAUACAUUGGACCUGAAACUAACAAACAUGAGGAUUAGACAAAAAAAAUUGUUUCCAAAACUGGAACCAAUCAUCUAAGGCCAUUCAAACCUGGUUUGAUGAAAUCUCUCAAUCAUGAAGACCUAAAUCCUCCUUAGGCUUAGUGGAUGUUAUGAUUGAUCAAAAACCUCCUUCCAUUAGUAUCUAUAAAAACAAAAUCCACCAAUAGACCAAGAGAGAAACAUAAUCCUAAAAGAAACAAGUGAGCAUUACAAAUUUAUAAAAAAUGUUGUGAUUACAAUGUCCAUCACUAUUUCUUAGAUAAGGAUGCGAGAAUCAUAAACUGGCACACAUCCAAGUCUCCAAUUUGACAAGAAAAUCAACGAAUGAGAAGUACCAUUAAUAAAUUAUAGAAAUGAUAGAAUAAAAUAAAUCAAAGGCAUAUAUAUAUAUAUAUAUAUAUAUAUACAAAAGGUUCGCAAUACCGUACCGUACCGGUGUUUCGACCUGGGUUCGGUACCGGUAUGGUACGGUAUACCGAGCGGUACACCCAGGUGUAUCGAUCGGUAUACUCAGGUGUGCCGAGUACUGUAGCACUGCUACAGUGCACUCGGACCGGUAACAGACGAUCCGCAUACCGGCAACCUGUCAGACCGGUACGUACCGCCCGUACCGGGCGGUACAGUUCGGUACUACAGACCAUAUAUAUAUAUAUAUAUAUAUAUAUAUAUCCCUCUAAAUUAAAGAUCAUCAUAUGUAUUACGCAUCACUUCAAAACCAAAAACAUGCAUGCAUAUUAUUAUAGUUAUACUUCGUUAGAUAAUGUAAGUUAACUAUUAGCAGUGAUUUAAAAAACGCUAGGCGCCAAGGUGCAAAAACGCCCGAAACACUAAGCACUCGCCCGAACGAAACGAGGCGCUAAAAUAUAAAAAAUAUAUAAAUUAAUUAAUAAAUAUAAUUAUUUAAAUAAAAAUAUGAUAUUAAAUUAAAAAAAAUCUUAUAGAAUCACAAUAUCAUAUUAACAAAAAAAUCUCAAAAUUCAAAACAAUAACAAUAAUUUCAAAUAAAUAAAAAUUAGUAGUAUUAAAAUCAAAAUAAUAUAUUAUUAAUCUAAUAAAUAAAAAAAUAUUGUUACUAAUAUACAGUUAACAGCAAGGUCCGUCAUACCGUACCGUAUCGGAGUUUCGACCCGGGCUCGGUAUGGUACGGGUGUACCGACCGGUAUACUGAGGUGUACCGACCGGUAUACUGAGGUGUACCGAGCGGUACACCUGAUUUUAUCGAUUUAUCCCUCCAAAAUACUUGAAAAUUAGAAAAAAAAGGUUAAGAUAGUGUUUUCAAGUUACAAAUGCAUACCUCUUGAUUAGAAAACGAAUACAUACCUCUUGAUUAGAAAAGUUAGGAUAGUCUUAAUUACUCUCUAAUUAAAAAAAAUGAAUACAAACCUCUUGAUUAGAAAGUUAUUCCUCUUAAUCUUCCUAAAUUAGCCUCGAUUGAAUUCACAAAUCGUUGUUUUAUAGAGUUUAGGAAAGAAAAAGAAAGUUUGAGAGAGAGUUUAAGAGAGUAUAAUGAAAUAGGAGAGAGAAGAAUGGUUUAAAUAGGAGGAGAAAAAGCUCCAACGGUCAAAUUGAUAGUUGGAACACUGUAGCACUGCUACUGUGUGGUAACGGUCGAUUUCGACCGUUACCGAGUGGUGCCAGACGGUAACGGUCGAAAUCGACCGUUACCGAGUGGUACCGGGCGAUAACGGUCGAAAUUUCGACCGUUACCGCCCUAUUUUGCCCCGUAUCGCCCAAUACGGGGGUUUUUGGGGCGUACCGCCCGGUAGCGAGCGGUCCGCGUACCGGUAACCUACCGAACCGGUACGUACCGCCCGAUACGGGCGGUACGCUUCGGUACGGUAGACCUUGGUUAUUAGUAUAUUGUUAAUAUACUAUUAACAAUAUACUAUUGAGUCAAUGUGAGUAGAGGGAGUAAGAGUAAUAGUAGAGGCAAUGGCAGCGGGAGCGGGAGCGACGAUAGUGGCAAGCAGCGGUAGUGGUAGCGGCAACGAUAGCGGUAGCAGCGAGCAGCAACACCGGUGUAAGAGUAAGACUGAGGCUGCUGAUUGAGAGAAGCAGCAGCGGUAGCAAGAGCGGGAGCGGGAGCGGCGAUAGUGACAAUGGCAGCAACGACAGCGAGCAGCGACAACAACGACAAGCAGCGACAACAAAGACAAGCAACGAUAGCGGAGAGAGGCAACAACAGUAGAGAGGAAAUGUCAGUAGCAUAAUCUUGAGCAGGGUUAGGGUUGGGGAAGUCGUGAGAGGGAUGUUGGGAGGCUGACAUCGAUGCUUUAGUUGGUUCAAUCGAACCAACUGAAGCACCGGAGACCGAACCAAACGUAAAACACUGGUUCGGUCGCCUGGUUUAACCUGGGCGCUCGCCCAAAGCGCCCAGCGCCUAGGCGGUGCCUCUUUGAAGCGAGGCGCUUAGACAUGAAGCGUGGCACUCGGGCCUCGCCUCGCCUCGCCUCGCCUGAACGCCUAUUGAAAUCAUUGACUAUUAGUUAAACUUUAAUUUACACCAACACCUCUUAUGCACUCAUCAUAGUGCUAAUAACAAUAAAGGUAUUUUUGGUAAACUAGUGUUAGAUAAUGAUUAGUAAGUGGUCAACUUGUGUAUUUUGGAUGGAUGUAAAUGACAAUAAGAAAAGUGGAGGUUCUUAAUAUUUACAGGAAUCUAUAUGUUACAUUAUAAUUUAUAAUUACGAAUAUGCUAUUUUCAAACUUUGCAAGGAUAAAUAUAUUGCCCCGUCACAGUUUAUAUGUAUAUAUAACUUAACAUAUGAAACAGAAAAUUGUUGCCAAAAAUUCCUGAAUUCUGAUACAUCAUGUUAAAAUUAUCAUAUAAAUGUUUCUACGUAAGAUUUUUUUUUUUUUGAGAAAGGUAUUUGAAAUAUUUUAUUAGUUAAACUAUCAAGAAUCAAAGAAGCUAACUAGGUUGCUUUUUCUUGUAAAUAGCAGUCAUGAGGAGUAGAUGCUGUGCCCGUGGCUCACUCUACUUCCUUCAGAUACCAGCAGCUGCAAUAGGGGUGGCUGCAGCAUAGUGGCAUAAUAAAGCAGCAGCAAAGGCAGUUCCUAUCUUCUUCAUCUCCUUCCACCACUCCUCCCCCACUUCUCUCUUCCUUUUCCUUAAGCUGUGAUUGAGAGCUUGGAUCUGUCCAACUAAAUCAGGACUCAGCUGAGUCAGAAUUAGUUGUCUUUAUAUCAUCAAGUCAGAGUGACUCAGUACAUGUCAAUAGUGGAUACAUGUCGAUGCACAAAGGCCUUAGACAUGUGAAUCCAGGUAAAAUUGAUGACAUAUGUGAAGUUGUAAUUUCUUUAGAAGAAACAAUUGAAACUUACAUAAGAUACAAGAUAAAGAUAAAAAUGGACCCAACAAAGAAUUACUAAAUCAAGUAAUAAAGUAUAUACUUCAAGAAAAUAUUAAAAAGGAACUAAAAGCAAAACAACAAAACAAACAUAGAAGAAGAAUGAAAGAGAAGAUAAAAACAGUAAAUAUAUCCUCUUCUUUGAUGAUAAGCCAGGUUGUGGUCUGGAUUAAAGGGAUUUUUGUCUUCCUCCAAAGUGACAAUCAAGAUUUUGUGUGAUUUGUGCUUGGUGAAACAUCUUGUGCUUGUGGAGAUUCUGAGCCCCAGAAUCAACCACAAUAUAAUAGUGUCAAACCAACAACAUUGCAUUUAAUUUAAUUUAAACAUUUAAUUUUAGAUCUGAGGUUUCAAUCCUCAUACCUGGAAACUGCCUCUCCACAGGAGAGGCCAACUUCUACCAGAUAAGCAUCAGAGAUGGGCCCAAGAUCACCAGAGGGAUGAUGGGAGACCAAAGACAAGAAUCUCACAUGGUAGCCUAGGUGAGUGCUGUUUUUUCAUCAAUUUUUUUACUUUUUUGUUUCUGAAAGCACUUCUGUGUUACUAAGGUGGUUGCGUUAGCAUUACAUACCAUAACAGUCAGCAGUCAAACUGAGGAGAACCGGUAGAAUUUAGAACUUUAAUGGCAUUCAGUUGUAGGUAAAAAGGAAAGGAAACAAAAACAAGAGACAUUCACAUAAGCAACAACUGCUAGAAAUGCAAACCGAAGCACAUAAGCAAUGCCACCAGGUAUGAAAAACAAAUAUGAACAAGGAAAUUGUUAAUUAUACUACAAGUACUUUUUUUAAGGAAAAAUCCAUCUGCACCUGGAAGCAAAAAUAUAUUCUCUUGUAACAUAAGGCCAACUAUAUCCACUCUAAUUGACCUAAUAAGUAGAUUUGAAUGAACCUAGUUUAAUUUAGAAAAAAAGAUUGUAUAAAAUCUGGACUUUUAGCAAGGGGCUGAUCUCCACAUAUGGUUUUUGAUCGGAACCAGGUUAAUUGGUCAGGUCAGUUAAAUAUUUAUACACCUAGUAUCAGCUCAAAGAAAUAGGGUGCAAGAAACAAAAAAUAAAGGUUAAGAUAAUCUAACCACUAUCCACACAUUUGCUAAGAGGACGAAAACAAAAUAAAUAUGGAACUUAACACACACAAAAAAAGACAUGUUCCUUUAUAAGCCCCCAUGAUGGCUCUCCAACUAAACACAAUUAUAUAAGCCUUGACAUGUUCCCACAUAUAUAUACACAACAACAACAACAUUAACAAAGCUGUAAGUCCCAAUUAUUUGGAUGUUUUGAUAUAUAUAUAUAUAUAUAUAUAUAUAUAUAAUCUAUCACAAAUCAAGGAUUUAUAUCUGGUUGAAUACUGGUUGCAAUAACCUACUGGACCAGUACGACACCAAUUUACUAGAUGGUGUACCAGUCUACACUGUCUAGUAUCAUUAUACAAAAAAUAAUAACAAAUGAUAUUAUACCAGUAUCAAACUAUAUCUUUCGCUACGAUAGUUGACCACAUCAGUAUAUACAAUUCAGGACUUACUGGUCCAACCAAUAUUUAAAAACUGGUUGAGGAUGCCUAUAAAUGUUAAAACUUGUAAUGGUCCACAUUAGGCCUCCAACAACACCCACAAGUAGUACCCUAACUUCAGAAUGAUGUAAUGCAAUUAAGGAUGUCUACUUAAGAUAAUUCAAAAUGAGUUGCUGUAGGAUAAAAAUAACAUGAAAAAAUAACAUAUAUGUCUAAUAAAUAUUCCCAUAAAAAUUUGGUAAAUGCCAAGUGUCGUCUAUGGUACCUUUUUGGCAUGUUUGGUUCACUUCACCUUUUUUUUAGCAAGGAUUGAAAUAUUGUACCGUACCGGAAUUUCGACCUUCUCUCGGUACAGUACAGUAUUAUAUACCGAGCGGUAUACCGUUCGGUAUAUAUAUAUAUAUACCGCUUGUUAGUGAGCGAUCCACGUAUCGGUUUACAGUCGGACUAGUACGUACCACCCGGUACCAUUCAAAAUUGUAUAUAUUGCUUUUUAGAAUUAAAAUGCACCUCUAGAAAAAUAAGACUAAUAGAUGCUAGUUAUCCAUUUCCAGUUCCCCAAAUAAAAAAACAUUGAGGAUAUCACAAAUCAAAAAUCAAAUCAUGGUAUGUAAUUUCGAAUGGUAUCGCCCGGUACGAGAGGUACGUACCAAUCCGAUGGCAUACCGAUACGUGGACCGCCCGCUACCGGACAGAACGUGCAGUAGUGCUACAGUGCUACAGUAAGAGGAAGAAAUAUAUAAAACCGCUUGGUACGCUCUGGUAUACCGCUCGGUACACGGUACCAUACCGUACCGAGCCAACCUCGAAACACCGGUACAGUACGGUAUUGCAUACCUUAAAUCAAAUAACUAAGAUUUUUUUUUAUAAUGUAUCAUUUCAAAUGAAGAUAUUUACAAAUCAAAUAAGCAUUACAACAACAACAACAAAAUUGUAAUGUGUCAUGUAUUUGAGAUAGCUGCAUGGAUCUUUUAUGGUCAUUGAACUAUGAAAAGAGUCAUAUUCUUAGUUAUAUUAAGAGUACAUAAAUUUUUGCUUAUGGUUUCUAAUAAAGUUUUUUUAGGUCUCCCUCUCCCCCUCCUUUUUUCAUAAUCAUUUAUAUCUUCUAACUUCAUAUAUAUAAGCCUCCUUAGCAUAUACCAAUAUUAUCUUAAACAAGUAUCUCUCAGUAUUGUUCAGGAAUGAAAACACUUCUUUUCCCAUUUUAGCAAUUCGACACGUUUGCCUCGACAAUGAUAAACCUUUUCUUUGUAUAUCUUGUUUCUUGAUUGCGUAACACUAAAAUCCAUAAAGCUCGUUAGUCUAAGAACGAUUUCCUUCUAAUCUAAAAGGUACCUAGUGAUUGCACAAAACUCCUUAUGUCCCUCUCUAUUUGAACCAUCCGAUUUUUCCUCUAUGAACAACAUUUUCAUUAUUCUUUCCAUCUUAUUGGAUAUGUAAUCCAAGAUAUAUAUAAGACUUUAACUUGAUGAAACUUCUUGGCCAUUCAAAUUAAUUAUAUUCUCAUGCUAUCACUAAGAUUACUUAGUCCUACUUAUAGACUUUUGGUUUCCAAGGUUCAUUUUCAUAAUACAAGCUUAAAUUAAUUUCAUCUAACUUGUAAUCAACAAAAACAAUAGUUUACUUCAUUAUCAAUGUGAAAAGAUAGAAACUUAAUACGGAUACUUGAUAUAGUAUUAUACUAAUAAAGAACUCAUUAGACAAGUUCUAACACCUUUGACUACACUAUGAUUCAUAUCUUUUAUAAUAUCAAUAUGGUUAACUAUAAUAAAUCCUUAAGAACUCUAUCAAAUAAGCAUUACAAAAGCAAAUUCAUUCUUGACACUACAAGAGAUCUAUAUACAAGGGAAAGUCCACUAGAAUACUCUUGUAUCGUAGGAUUCAAGGACUUACGUUUUGCCUAGACCGGAAUGAAACUAGCGACACGUAUUGGUCUGAGCUCCAACAGAUACACAGACCCACCUCGGUCUGGUCCGCCAUAUAAAAGGGAAAGUGGGAAACCCUAAAUCCCACUUCCACGCCGCCUAUGCUUCUCACACAGCCAUGAUCAAUGCUGCAACUUUUCGCCUUUGUCUUCUCACCGCGAUUGACACCUCUUCUCACACAAAUGGCUAUUGGCAACCUCCUCUUGCCAAGACCUCGUUGCAUACCACCAUGCACAAUCUUUGCCCUAAUCACUUCUCAGGUAUGUCUCUUCUCCUCUUCCUCUUCCUCUUUCUCCUUCCUCCACUGUUUCCUCUUCUUCGCUCUUUCUUCCUUCAUCCUCCACUAUCCCUUCCUCUUAUCCCUGUUUUCCUUCCUCUCCGAAAUACCGAUACCUACCAAUGUACCAUGUGUCAGUACAUAACCGGUAUGUACUGGUCCGACAAAUCUCCGUGACAAGUUUGGUACCCGACAUGGCGAACCUUGGUAGGAUUAACCUUUACAAGAAAUACAUGAACCACAACCAACAAAAAAGAAUGUAUUAACAACAAAAUUUUAAUUUAUCAUGACUAGGGCAGGGGAAGAAAAUCAAUAAGAUACAUUGGGAAGACCAUUUAUAUUAUUCCAAAUUAUUCUUUCCUUUAAAUGAGACAAUCAUCAAACUCAAUAUUCACAAUGUUAGCUAAAUUAUGCUAAAUGCUUAUUUUAUACAAAUAGGUAUAUGAAAAAUUCACAAUUCAUAGUUGCACUAGGUGUUGCAUCAGUAAUUAAUCGACUAUUUACAGUUGACAUCAUGUUACCAACAGUCACUAGCACUUGUUUCUUUCUGGAGGAAAGUAAAAUUAGAACAACUACCAUGGCUUUUAGGAUCAGAGGUGCAGUACACUAAUUACUAAAAGUAAAGAACAGUUGAAGAAAGAACCACAUAGAACAAAUGAUGCAAAAGACUUAAUAAAGGGACUGCUGCUAACCAUGAAUUAUCUUCAAAAAGGAGCCUCAAGUGAUUCAUCCCAGAUGUCUCCACUUCCAUUGGAGGCAUCUUCACCAUCUUCCUCCAUGCUCAAUCUAAUAUAUUCUCUAUGUGCGAAACGGUCCCACUCAGUCAAAGUUGGGUUUUCCCUUUCCUGAAUUAACAAUUACAUGAACAGGUUACCAAUUUAUUGUAUAAUUAACAAGUUCCAAAUAGCUAACAGCUCCUGAAAAUGCAGAGUGAUUCACUAACCUGCCGAAUGAGAAAUGGAUCACGAGUUUCAAAUGCCAUGAAUUUGUUGAGAUUAAAAAGGAUAUUAAAAACAUUUCCUGAAAGUUUGCAGCCUUUUAAGUCACGCAAUGUAAAGUAGCUCUCAUUCUGCGAAGAAAAAAAUUUUAGUUUUAAAUAAUUCACAAACUCAUCUUAAUCUUAAACAUCAGGAGAUAGGUCACCUCAGAUCCAAUCAUAUCAAUCAUCUGGCACAAAAUGUCCUCAAAGAGCACAGGUUCUUGCGCCAUACAUUCCAUACGAUGCAACUGCUCCUCAUAGAAAAAUUGCAUCUCAUUGGCAGUUAAAAUUCCAUUCCCAUCCAAAUCUAUACACUUGAACCUGAAAAAUCAAUUCAUUCCUAACAAAUAUUAUAAUUAAUUAAGAAAAUAGUUUAAAUCAAUGAUGAUCUAGAACGAUCAUGUGAAAUUAAUGACAAUCUUUCUCAUCAUACAUGGAGCAACAAUAGAGGAGGGAGCCAGCUAGUAUUUGACAUCUACUUACCAUGAAUAAAAAAUGAAGAGAGUAGAUUAAACUCAAGAUAAAGUCAGAGAAAUCAACCAAGAACACAGAUUCAAAAGUAGGUUGGCACCAACAGAAGCACACCUAAGAUUGCUUGCAGUGAGAAUAAAUGUAAGAAGUACCUAAGGUAAUCCUCUAAACAUAUUGUGGUUGUAACUUGUGAGGCAUAAUCAAGAAAAACUAAAAAAAGAAAUAUGAGUCAAACAAUAUGAAUGUGCAGAAGUCCCAAUACAAGUUAACUCUUGCUGUUUUGAUGCCAACAGGCUACAGCUAAGUACUAAAGAAGGUGACAGGAAUGUGAAUAAGGAAAAUUGUGAUCUCAUGAUAUUAUGAUAGUAAUUUGCACAGUUUCUAGAUAUGAGUUAGUUUAUAAUAACUCUUUUUUUGACAUAUAUAAUAUCUGAACCAAUGUGGAAAACAUGAAUCAUGGUUUCGUUAACAAGUCAUGAUGGAAAAAAAAAAAAAUUUAAAAGAACCAUGAAAUUCAGAAAUUAUGAUUGGAUCUGAAUUGGUUGGCUACUACACAUUGCAAAACUUCAUGCUGCUGGCACGAUAAGUAUAACCAAAAGAGAAUGGUGACUGAAACAAGAGGCACUAAUUGCCUCCUACUCUGAUAAUGAAUUUUUUAAAAGUGAAACAAGAAAGCCGAAAUGGCAGCUUAUAAAGAUCCAACAUAUGAUGGGAAAUAGAUUCUUCAUCUUGUAUAUGAUCACAGUAGGAAAUCCUAAUAUUUCAUGGUUGCAGCAUUGGUAUGCGUCCUGAAAAGAAGAUCCUCAGAUUAAAGAAAAUAAGGAACAAGUCAGAUAUCUAAAUGAAGUUUAUUAAAUAAAUUUUGCUAAAAGGGCAGAAACUUCGACCAUAUAGAAAAAUCAAUUGGAUCCAUGGCAGAUCCUGAUACUGUAAUCCCAUGUGAUUACAUUACAAGGAUAGGACUGGAAUGGCUUGUACCUAUUAUAUGUCAGAAAGCAUUAUUCAUAUUGUUUAAAUUAUUAGAACUUGACAACACCAGCCCCAUUAUCAGACACUUAGAAUUUGUACUUAAAUGUAAAUUUGUCAAGCAAAAGAUCUUCCAUCAAAACAAAGCAAAAGAGGAAGAGAUUAUGUCAAAUCAGAUGGCAUCAUCAUAUAAACCAUGCAUAUGACAUAAUUUUCAGAGGAGAUGUUGCUAUCACCAAUACUCAAGACUAGGCUCAGCAGACUUAUCCUCCUCUGCUAGUAUAAAAUACACAAAGUCUUCGUAGCCCAUUUUGCCAUCAGCAUUGCUUUUAAAUUUCCUGGGAACCUAGAUGACAAUUCAAACACAUUGUGAAUCACCUGUACAAUUUAAUAAUCUAACAGCUGCACUUUAUCUAGCAUUUAAAUUAUCACUAGUAUAAUGCUUGACCAUUGCAUAUUAACAAAAUAAUCUGAAAACAACAAAUGUGUGAAAACCUGUGAAAAGAUCCUUUCAACAAUUCUGUAGGUCAGUGCAUGGUUUCCAUAUCUGAUAAGGUUCUCUUUAUCAAUCAAGAAGUCAUGAUCUGUAUCAAGUUCCCAGAACUUACAAUAGAUCACAUAGAAGUGCUCGUAUGAAAAGUAUCUGCAGGAAUAAGCAGCAGCAAACAAAGCUGUUAUUGUAAAAUGCCUCAAUUACUAACACAAAGUAUAAAAUUAUAAACAAAAGUUAUUACUAACUCAUAAUAUAAAAGGUUUAUAAUUGGGGCCUCUAUCUAUCAUAACAAGCGACUCUAAAGAUUAUUAGGCUUGCUUAUGAAAUUUGAAGUAAUAUAACCUUGCAGUGAAAGAAGGCGCAUGCAUCUUGCUACUUGAAUCCUUAAAAACGAAAUCAAUGCUCCUCUUUAACUUCAUACCUUUCAAAACCCAUGCAUAUUAAUCAUAAGAGGUUAUAUUUUAGUUUGAAAACAAUGCUCUUCUAUAACUUAUUAUCAGAACUCAUAUCUGUGAGGCUUUCAGUUUCAAUUUGUCAAUUCAGAUGUAAUUUUGACCAUGGAUUAAAAUACAGCCCAAUGACAUUUUAGUACAGUACCAAGAAACAUAUCCAUCUGUAUCACUCGAUAUCAAUGAGGAAAAAAAAUUAAAAAUUAAAAUUGUACUGGAAUUGAGCUAUAUAUUUUGAUACCAGUACUUAGUGAAUAAUUUUAGUCAGCAUGUACUAAUCUGGCUAAUAUUUAAUUCCUUGAUUGUGACUGCCAUAAGGACCUAUGUCAGAAAUUGUCUUGUGCUGUCAAAAAAAAAAAAUGAAACCAAUGGGAUUCCAAAAUGCCAAAGUGAGCAGUUGUCAGUCAUAUCUGUAUCAGCAUAAACAGGCCUUUCCCUGCAAAUAAAAGCAAGUUCAAGCUACAAGUUGGAUAAAAUUCCAAGUCUUUGAUGUGCACCCAAGACAAGGAGACUCUCCACAACCAUAACCACCACUAAUUUAAAGAACUCUUAGUCAAUCAGUCAUUUCACACACAUGCAAGAAUAAGAAGCCAGUAAGGUCAUAUUUUAUCACCAAGAGGCAAAAGUCAUACAAAUGACAGAAGAAUAAAAAUGAUCACUGAUAAAUUAGCAAAUGAUAGUAUGAAACGCCAGAUGCAAAAUUAAAUUGAAAUUGCAAUAGUAUUUCAGGCAUUUACAAUAUUAACUCCAAGUCAUUUACAUAAAUACAAGGACACCAGAAGCCCGUAAGGUCACAUAUUCUCAUAAAGAGACGAAGUCAUAUAAACAAUGAAAUAAUAAACAUAAACUCCAAUUCACUAGCAAAAGAUAGUGUCAACAGCUAGAUGCAUGAUAUAAGUCCAAACUGCAAUAGUACUUCAGGCAUCUACAAUAUAAACUUGCACAGAUCAUUCCAAGCUCAUGUACAAGACGGAUAAAAAGUGCAUUAACAUAAAGUCACCUCAAGACUUUGUUAAUAUCCUCCUCUUCGUCAGCAUGCUGCAUCGCAGCAAUUAAGUUUCCAUGUUUCAACUCUCUGAGGGUAAGUUGACCAUUUCCAGAUCUAUUCACAUGGUAAAAGAUUCUGUAUAUGACAGUUUCAGCUGGAAAAAAGGUUCCAAAACAAUAUGAAUUAGAGAAAGUACUACCAUGGCAUUUGGAGAGUUCGAAGGUCAAAGAUGAUGAUGCUGUUAUCUAAUAUGUCAUUGAACACUUGGGAUUAGACAACAAAAGCAAUUGGUUGUGAUUAUCAAUGUAUAGAUGCAACACAUGACAGAAGCAUAAGGAAAGUCUAUGAGCAACAGUAUAGAAUAAAUGAAUAAUGACUAGAAAAUGAUGUCAAGUUGUGAUAAAAAAUAAUGAUAGUGAUGAGUUUGACCUUUAACCAAUAUGUCAAUGGAUCAUGUUCUAAUAAACUACACAAGACAUUCUCCACAUCGAAAUGCAAAGCCAAAAGAAGUUCUUAUGUUUUUGCUUUACAUGUGUACAGUAACAAACAACUCACUGAAUUGUAAACAUCUUAUUUUCUAAUGACAACUAGAGCAGUUGAGCGUGCAAUGUCUAAAUCUUAAGAAUUUAAAUUAUUCACACAAUAUAUUGGUCUGAUGGAGUAAGUCUUAAGUAAAAAUGAAUAAUCCAUCUGACCAUAUGGAUUUCCUCCAAACACAUUAUAGGUGACUGAUAGGGUAUUAGGGUUACCACUGUUAUGCAGGUUAAGUAACUGAUGACUCAUCAACUUUUCUUCCUUGCCAUAACUUUUCAUAUUUUAUCUUCUUCUUAUACAUGCAUUGCCAACCAAGAAGAAUAGUAUGUGGUUCACUUACAGCUUUCAUGGUAGGUCCUAGUGUUCCUAACUCUCCAGAACAUCCACAAUUCUUUUUGCUAAUCAUAACUACUAGUGCUCCACAGGUUUAUACUUUAAGAUUCACUAACUGGAUAGACUGUAUACAGCAUGACUAUCAAAAGUUUCACUAUAAUUGCAUCAAACAGCCAUGAAUAAAGUGAACAUCUGUUGUCUGCAAGCUUUUAAACAAAGAUUAUGCUUUUUUCAUCACAUGAUAAGUGUAUAUCAUGAGAUGAGAGAAGCAUUUCGGUUGAUGGAAAGCCUUAUCCAUUUCUUUUUCCAUAAAAAAGAAAGAAGUGCAGAUGGGAUUGUAGAUAACAAGGACUGCCAUAUUGUACCAGUCGCUGGCCGGACCGGUACAUACCUGUGUUUCAAAGACGAAGGAGAAGAAGAAGGCACAAUGGAGAAGAGAGGAGGAAGAAAGAUGAGAAGGUAGUGGAGGAAGAGGAAGAAGGAAUAAGAGAGGCAGUGGAAGAGGAGGAAGAAGAAGUGGAAGCGAUGGAGGAAGAAGGAAGAAGAGGAGGCAGUGGACAGUAGGAAGAAGGAAGAGGAGAAGAGGUGGGAGUGCACUAGGCAGUGAACAUUAGCGGCGACAACAUUGAAUGACGGCGGCGGCGACAAUGACAUCAAAUGUCACUGGCACGACGCCGUAUGAUAGCAGCGAUGACAACAGCAUCACAAGAAGACAGCUCAUGUUCAUGAGCCCUCUACUGCAUCAAUUAUCCAAAAUGAUUAUUCAAACUCAUGUUCUGGAAAUUGAUACUUCUUAUCGUAUAUAGCUUUAUAUUUCCAGUUCUUUCCACUGGUACUUCAGUAAAAAGAUGGAAGUCACUCAAUUGUUGCAUUCCCUUCUAGAACAUUUAUUAUCAAAACUCCAAUAUUACCAAGGAAAUUGAAGACAUGAAAUUAAAAAAUAUUGAAUGAAGCACAAUAGUGUUAUUUGAGCUUCAAUAUUGUACAGGUUGUGCAUCUUCUAUCUUGUCUUUAGAAACAUAAAAAAUGACUUAUGCUGAUCACCAUAAAAGAUCUCACUAAUAUAUCCAAAGUUCCCACAGAAAAUUAUCAUGGAUUUCACAAUCAUAGAUCUCUCCUCCAAUUCCCCCAACCCAAAAGAAAAAAACCUCACCGGGCCCCUAGGAAAUGAAUAUAAUUAUCAAUCACAGAUAUCCAAAUAAUCAAUUAAACACAUUUUGGUUCAUAAGCUCAAACAAUAAAUAUCGUGACAAUUGUGAAGUAAAAGAGUAAGGAAGAAGCAGGACAAAGAAAGCAGCAAUAUGGUCAACAAAGAAAGCAACAAAAAGAAAGAAAGGAAAAGCAGGUGUUUACAACCAACUCAUAUAGUCAAUAUGAACUUCAGAUGCCUGGUCUUUUCCAUUUUGGUUUUCAAUGAAGGAAAACUUGCUUAAUGGUUGGCCUUUCUACUUUUCUUGAAGAACAGAACUGUUACCCUUUCAGAAAUUAGUUGAGUUUGAUCUCUUGCAUCACAUAGAUCUUACCAUUUGUAAUGAAGAUAAAAUGAUAAAAGAUGCAAGUGAUUAUACAGGCACACCCUUUAGGAACUGGACCUUAAGAAAACAAAACAAGGGACACUAUUAAUGCCUCAGUGAAAACUGUGAGCUCACUUAAGGUGAGAGUCAAAUUAUGCAAAAUCAUCAUCUGAAAAGAUGAACAUUUAUCCCACAAGUAAUUAUAGAGGUACACCUUUUAGGAUCUGGGCCUCAAAAAAUUAACCAAGAGACAUGAUUAAGGCAUGUCUCAGUGAAGGCUAUGAGCAUGCAAUUGAGGAGAUGACCAAAAUGUGCAAGAUUGUUUUUUGACAAGAGGAACAACUAUCCCAACUAUAUAUGUAUUCACUUGUAACUUAAAUAUCAUGAUGAUCACCCAACUAACUUAUUAUAAUGCCAAACAUAAUGAGAAUACUUAAUAGUAAAGGCAUCUUUAUCAUAAGUAAGAACUCACCAUAUCUAUCCUGGAACUCAGGGGUUCCCUGUAGGAACUCCAAACCUGGAUGGGUUGCCAAAAGUUCUCGCAGGACUGGUUUAAAGUCCUCCUACAGGAACCCGGAGUAAAUUUAAUCAAUUUAGUGUCAAAAUUAGAAGGAAUGAAAUUAAUCUCCUAUAAUGAAUGUACCAUUAAUCUUCUGCUUAAGUCAGAUGAAGAUUGUGAACACCUGUCUAAGAAACAAUUUAUUUAAAUGCUUGGAAAGAGGAAACAAACCUGAGUAAGGUACUUGUGGUCCGGUUGCUUCAAAAUGGUAAAUAUUUGUGUAGCUAUAUCCUUUAUCAUCAUGUUACUGUUAAUCCAAUAUUCGACGAAUGAAUCCCUAAAAUAGUAUCAAAAAGUUACAAAUUUCAGUGUGACGAACACCUCCAAUAAUAAAAUAUAGAAUAAUAAGCAAACCUAAGUUUAUUUAUGAAUGAUCAUAGAACCUAUAUGUUGUAAAAGAGAAAGCUGAAAUAAAACAAUGACAAAUGAAACAAAUGACUAUAUUUGAAGAGGGUAAUUGGGAAUAAACUAAUUGACUUAAUAAUGUAAUGUAAUCAUUGUAGUGUCUUCACAAUUAAGCAAUGCAUUAAUUGACUUGACUACAUAAAAUAAAUCUUGAUGUCACCUACAACACUAAAUAACUCGAGCAAAAGCUUCAAAGAGUACCAUGGUCCCAAAAGAAAAGAACAUAGUAUUACCUACCACAUAGCACAUGCCAAGCUAACCUACAAUAACCGCACCCUAAUAUGUACCAUGACAAUGAAUUUACUGUUUUCCAACUAAGGCUGAAAAGACAGACACCUUUCCUGUCUCUGUCUUAGCAAGGUCCGAUUCUAAAAAAAAAACAAAACACAAAACUUAUAGUAAAAGAGGGUACAGCUGGCAACAAAAGCAGAAGGCAAGAACAUUAAGUCUUUCCAUUUAAUGGCAAUGAAAGUUAUUUGUAAUGGUGACUUAAUGUAUGAGGUUCAUGAGAUACCAUGAAGUCCAAUGUAAUUUGUCUAACCCUUGCAAACAUAGAGGCUAUAUUUAGGGGUCCUAAUAAGAUGUCUUGGACAGGAUUCAUGUCAAGUUGAGAGAGAUGAAAAUAAUGAGAUAACACCAUGAAUCCAUAAAAAUUUUUAUGAGAGAAAAUUUUAAACCAAAAUCAAACCAACUUAAUACUGAUGGAACCAUAUCUGCAACAUGUAUCUCAAUAAAUAAGUCAAAUCAAGUAAAAAAUGAUACCAUCAACUAACUUCAAUUCAAUAUGACUUUCUUACACAAAGAAAACUUGAGAUAUUAAUCCAAUCAACCUAUCAAUGAUGGUUAACUUCUAUAACCUAAUUGCAAGGAAACUAACAUGUAGAACCAAAAGCAUAAUUAACACAUUUAACCUGAUUGUUCAUUAUAUCAAAAUAUAUCAAGAUUAAUUAUGAAAACACAAAACCUAUUAACAAGGCAAUUUGCAACAUUUCAUUUAUGGUUUGAACCCAUAAAGUCCACAUGACCCCACUGGUUUCAUGUCAGGUCAUAUCGAAUUUGUGGCAAGUCAAUAAUAGCCACAUAGUUGUAUAUAUUAGUUAUCGUUCAAACUGUUUUCACAUCACAAGAAAAAAGAUACCUUACUACGGUGCCAAACUCCACCCCGUUCUGAAGUUCUAAGAUGGCUACUAAAUGUCCAAGUAUGACUCUGAAAAUACAGGUAUAUGACUGUGGAGAUUAAUUAUGAUUCCAUUUAAUGAAAAGAUGAUUUCUUUUGGGUACUACUUUCUUCCUCUUCUACCUUCUCUAUCUUACCCCCAGUCUCUCUCUUCAAAAUACUGCUGCUUUCUAUUUUACUAUGAAAAAAAACUAAUAUAUAUAUAUAUAAUUUCAUUCAAUACAUGCCCAGCUUCCUCACAGCCAGAUGUGGAUACAAUUUUAUAUUUGCAGUGGAAGAUGGUUGAUUAAUCAAGUAUAUGUCUAAAAUUUGACACAAGCACAUAAAUGCUUAAAAGUUUAACUUAAUGCACCAUCCAAUCCAGACCAUCUAUUAGGCUGAUAGCAGGCUAUAUGCAACCUGAUGUUACAUGCCUGCUAAACAAUAACAUAACAACAAAUCAUUUGAAUUUAUGGCAGGCUCAGGUUCUGAAAAUAUUCACAUAUGCUAUUUGCAGGCUGUGAUUAAACAAAUUUAGAACAUUACUGUGUAGAUUGUUGCAGAUAAUACAUCAGUCCCACAUCAUGAGAAAAAAUGGUUAAAAUCACAUUAAGAUUUAAGAUCAAUUGAGAGGAGGGAGGGUAAUGCUACUCUUUUGUGCUGGUUGUCACUUGCCACUAAUAAGAUGCAAUGACAUGAUCCCAAAUAUAAUCAACUUUCAGAAAAAGAAAAAGAUAAGCUUAGACUGCAAAGCAAUGGACGAUCAGAAAUUUUAUGAUUUUAUCUUGAAUAUUAAAGAAUUGGAAAAUAGUUUUAAGCAGCAGUAAAAGCUAAAUAACCAAUACAAGUUUAAGCAAUGAAAUUGUAGAAGCUCCCAAAGAUCAAUUUGUAGAAUAUAAGUAGUCUUGAUUCUUAUAAGGUUUUACAUACCUUGUUACCAUUCCAGUGCACUCAACAUCAAUUUUUCUGAAAAGAGAACUGGAAAGAAAUGAUGGUAACUUGCAGAUUUCCUUUGUCAGGGUUUUGAAUUCUAAAAUAGGAAAAACCAAGUUUAAAUGAUUGUCAUGCUGAUUAACACUAUAAGCGUUAGCAUGUGUCGCAUGCAAGUUCACCUUGUAUUUGUAGUCCGUCCAUGUUGCCAAAGAAAAGAUGAUCAAUUCUAGAUAAGCAUUGUUCCUUCAGUUCUCUUGGAGGAGGACGCCCAUAUUGGAAGUAGAACUGUGAUUGUAUCAAUCAUUUAAAAAUCAGUUAAAUAAUAGAAUCCUUAGCCACCUACAAAAGAUAUUUUAGUCUGCAUUGCGAAUAAAUAUGAUCAACAGUUAGACACCACCUGAGGUAUAACUUCUUUGACAGGUUCAUUAACUAAUUUUAGUGGAGAACCAAAAGGUGAAGGUCCAGCUGCUGAACUACUACGCUUCAUAAAACGAGGAGAUCCAGAUGUGCUCCUAGGUGAGAGAGGAGGCACACUGCCAGCAGGAAACAUGGAAGGCAGUGAAUUGUUAGCAGCAGCAAUUGCAGUACCAGAGCUGCCAGCAACAUUCAAAGGUGAACCUGCUUUUGCAUCUUCAAUCAAUGACUUAACCUGAGACCAAAGGCUAAACGAUGAGAUACUAAUGUGAAACAUUGGCAGAAGUACCCUAAUUACUCUUGAGUAUAUUUUAUCAAGAAUCCUUUAUAAUAGUUCAGGACAAAAGGUUGUUCUCUUUAAGAUUUUUUCCAUUUUACGUGAACUGGGGACAAAGGAUUUGCAGUCCCCUGCCUUGCCACUUGGCCAUGUUGUCAAGGUCGUAAAUGAUCAAGUGGCAUCCAAUCCAUGAAAUGAUUUGAUAUAUACACCGAGGCGUCUACAUAUCACCAACAAAUUACAGUCCAUCCCCUCUUCCAUUAUUUAAAUAUUUAAUCUAGUUUAGGGACAGAAAACUUAAUGAAUUGUAUCUAAAGACAUGGAAAGGGAUAUUUUUAUGACAGCAACAAAAGUCCAAGCUCAUGACAUCAUUGAUUUUGUAUCUCGAGUUAUUCAACGGUUUGGUAUGAGUUUUUUUUUUUUGCAAAUGUAAUUUUGUAAUUUGCGGAGUUGUAGCUCCAAUAGUGAAGGACCGAAGAAGAUUAGCCACCACUCGUCUUGGAGGUAGGUCAUAAUGGACACGUAAUAGGUUCUUGGUGCUUUAAUGAUACAGCAUAUGAGGAAUGACAUGAUUGGAAGUGGAUUAUAUUAACUGUCGUAUAGAAAUAAAUGUAAAAUAUCUAAGCCAGACUUAAGUGCAUUUAUACAUAUGUCUUAUGUCAUUAUCUUUGACGAUACAGUUUUCUUUUUUGAAUUCAACAUCAUCAACAUUAUGCUUUUUUUCGUCACUGUUCUCCAACAAGACCUUUUGAUGCUAUUUCUGACCUGCUAGCAUCAAUAUUCUCUUAUUUUGCUCUCUAAAUUGGUAUGAUACUAGGGCAAACAAAAGUUAUACUCACAAGAAAGAAACAGUGAAGUCGUCACAAGUAUGUUCAAGUCAUGGUGCAUUUAAUAUAAAUUUUCAUGAUGCGGUGGUAAUCAUAUCUAUUUCAGCUUAAGAAAUCUUACGCAUAUUAGAAUUUGAAUAUAUACAACAAUAUUACAGCUCUUAAAUUCCUUAAAUGAGCUCGUUAAGGAAUGUGUCUUAAUUUCAAAAGGAAUAAAAUAAUAACUUAAAUGCUCCUUCUAAUAUUGCAAAGAAUCAUAGGCAUAUAUGCCAAGAAAAGACUCUAAAUCUUCAACAAAGCCAAUUAUGCUAAGUUGCUAACUGAUCUCCAGAAACAAGAGGGCAGAGCAUAUCAUGCACAUUACCAACAGAGACAUCCUGAAUAGAUAGCUCAUCAAUUUUUGAGCGAAAGAGUCCUUAAGAUCAACAAAGGUAUGUUAUGCACAACUAAGCGUCCCACCACUUGGCGCAAAAGGUUAACAGAAGAGUAAACAAGACUAGCUGAGUUGAAUUGACUGUCACAGGACAAAGAAGGUAAAGAAAACGUACCAAUUUCCUCGUUUCUGGCAAUGAGAGCCACUGGCAAUACAGGUCUUCAGCUAUUUUAGGUUUCUCCUUCAGAGCUAAUUGAGAUACCUCCGGAAGCUGCAGCAGCUCCGGGUCAAGUGAUGCCAUGUCCCUCACCAUAUCCGUAUCCAUUCCAACCAAAUCCUUCCUCGCGCAUAAAACGAGAACAGAAACAACCAACAAAAAGAAAACCGGAAACCCUGGAUCCCCAAGCUUUCUUGACCAAAGAAUCCAAAAAUCAAAUCCUUGGUUUAAAAAUCACGGGCAACAAACCCUAAGCCUUCCAAUCCGAUCGUCGCCCUCCCUACCCUUCUCCAUCUGCACAUUCUAGCAACCAAACCUCGAAUCCCUCCAACGAGUUGUCAAAUAAAUCCAAGAAAUCCUAUAUUGGAAGCUGAGAAGCUGGAGAAACCUCAGAUCGCUUCGACUCGGCGGGAUCCUGGCUUAACCCGACACCGAAGCAAUAUGAAGCGAGAUCGUCCUCGAAAUCUCUCUCUCGGAAGACCGGAACCGAUGGCAAGCGGAGGAAAGCACGAUGAUUGUAUCUGGAACGGGAGGGAACUCGGAUCACGGAGCUCGCGGCCCUCGAGGACCAAGGUGAGAAGAGGUGGCUUUGGACCUCGAAACGCCGAGAGAGGAAAGAGAAAAGUGAGAAAGCAGCAUGAUCGUCGCCCAUCAUAUAUAUAAUACUAUUUAAUUGAUUGAUAUAAUUGACAUGAGCCGUCCGAUUUGUCAUAACCAUGCGGAAUGAGAUCUGCGGCCGAUAGAAACAGACGAGUCCAUCAGAGGCUUCGGAUCAAUUACAUCAUCGAUGGACCCAAACCACUAAGAACGCACCACGUUGGUCAUUCUGCAACGAGGUGGCCCAAGAGACGCGUGGGGCCUAAUUAGGCGGACUGAAUCAGCCGCGACAAUUAUCAGGGUUGACAUGGUCUCGUACAGAUCUGAUGUGUCACAUGGACUCCAACACUCAAGAUUAUAAAUGAGGGUGAUACCAUCACCGGAAAUUUUACAACUGAGUUUGGUAUAAUUGUUAAUCUAAUCGAUCCAUAAUUGAUCAUAAUGAAAAGGAUCUGAGAUGAUUCAGCAUUCUGAGCUUGUGCUUUGAGUGAGAGGAUCAAUAAAAUAAAAAAAUGGAACAACUCACUCAAAAUUUUUUUUUUAUUUUAAUACAUAUAACUAUCAAUAAUAAUAUAAAUUAUAGGCAAAAUCAUACUAUGCAUCGCAUUAUGUCAAUUACGAUAAUAAUCACUUUUUCAAUAAUAAUAAUAAUAAUAAUAAUAAUAAUAAUAAUAAUAAUAAUACAUAAAUUUUAGGUAUUUUCCAAUCAGUACCUUUAUUAUAUUUUUUAAAUAAUAUCUUUAAUUUAAUAAUAAUAAUAAUAAUAAUAAUAAUAAUAAUAAUAAUAAUAAUAAUAAUAAUAAUAAUAACUGUCCCUUAAAAAUGUUUACAUCUGUUGCAUUGACUUGGCUUGUUACUACAUUUUUUUUUGUCUCGUACAGAGUUUUAGUCAUCAUAAUAAAAAUACUAUAAAAAACAUACUAAAAAAUAUUAUAAACAAUCGAAAUGGAUUUUCUAAUCUCAAUCAGACUAACUAUAAAUCUAAAAAAUAUAAUAUUAUAAAAAUAUAUAAUAUAAUAUCACUUACAGUAUUUUUUUAAUAAUAUUUAUAGUGUUUUUAAUACCUCAAUAAAAAUAUUAUACUGAAAAUAAUAUAAAUACUAUUGAAAAAUGAAUCAAAUGAAAACAUUGUAACGGUUGGAAACUGAUUUUAAAAAGGUGACAAAUUCGGUGGAAAAACUUUUGAGGGAUAUUUUAAUUUUUUUUUUAAUUAGGGAUAUUAUUUAAAUAAUAAUAAAAUUUUUAAAACUAUAUUAAAAAAAAGAGUAUUUUCUAAAAAACCGUUCUAACUAUAACUAAUAAUAAUAAUUAAUAAAGCAACUAACAACGACGAAAACCAAAGACAGACUUGGAAGGCAUCGAGACGAGGAUCUGAAACAGGUUCGAGUAAAGAGAACGCCCCCCUCCUUCAGGCGUCUCGUCGAACACCUAACCGACACUCUUCAAAAACCCUGCUCGACCUUAUUGGCAUUAAAAGAACCUAAAUUUCCUGAUUCCCAUCGACAACAUCUCCGCCCCGUAUUUCGGGUGGUGAUUUCCGGCCAUCGUAAUCCUUCACGGCACAACUUGCAGUACAUGUUCAUAGCAAAGAGACCGGUGAUUCGACCCGAGCCCGAUGAGCCGACGCUCCGAGCGCAUUCGGAUGAACGUGGGGAUGGAGGGCCCGAAGAAGCAGCCGCCGGCUGAAGCGUAGCAAGGUGGGGAUGUGGGCCGAGAGCUAAAGCUUCAUACAAGAGGAGAGGUGGUUAGGUUGGUCCGUGGACGAGAAGAGGAGUCCAAAGAUGUCAUUUUGAAGACCCCAUCGAUAAUAUAAACCUUGAUAAGAAUCUUGUACAUAUAUGUGGUUAAUACAACCUUGAUUCUUUUCUGUCAAAAUAAUCUUUGGUACCUCCGACCUCCCCUCCCAUCCCACGUCUUCCCGAGGAACCUAUUCUUUCUGCUCUCACCUGCUUAAAAGAGACCUUCUUUGUCUCACAAAAAUCCAAUUAUUAUCCAGUUUGCUUCCAACUGUUCUUUCUUCUGUUUGAUGGUCUCUUCAUCCUUUCUUGAUUUCCGAUCAUCCGAGACGGAAAAGUUUUGAUCUUUGCAUUCUUAAUGUCCUUUCUUGAGUUCUGAUCAAUCGAGAAGAAGAACAAAGAUUGAUCUUUGUAAACAUCGGGAAAAAAGUAAUUUACGGAUUCGACGAUCUGCGAUCGAAGCAGCCGGCGGGAGAUCAUGUCGUCGUCGUCGCCGCGGUGGGUGGAGGAGGUAGCAGAGGAGGAGGCGUUCGAGCACACGCUGCUGGUGGUGCGGGAGGUAUCGGUCUACAAGAUCCCGCCACGGAGCACCAGCGGCGGGUACAAGUGCGGCGACUGGCUGCAGUCCAACAAGAUCUGGUCGGGCCGCCUCCGGGUCGUCUCCUGCGGUAACCGCUGCGAGAUCCGCCUCGAGGACCCGGGCUCCGGCGAGCUCUUCGCCGCCUGCUUCGUCCUCCCCGGCCAGCGCGAGAGCUCUGUUGAGCCCGCCCUUGACUCCUCCCGCUACUUUGUGCUGAAGAUCGAGGACGGCCGCGGCAAGCACGCCUUCAUCGGCCUCGGGUUCAACGAGCGCAACGAGGCCUUCGAUUUCAAUGUGGCCCUCUCCGACCACGAGAAGUACCUGAGGAGAGACCACGAGAAAGAGGCGAGCGAGGAGAUCGAUGAGAGCCAGAUCGGUAUACAUCCCUCGGUGAAUCAUCGCUUGAAGGUACUCUUUGCAUGUGCAAUCCUAUGGUUGGCACUUGAUCAGUACAUCUCCCUGAUUGAUUUCAUCAUCAUAAUUAUUCUUUUUAGCAUCGAUUUAUUGAUUUUGUGUUGAUAAUCUCAUAUUGCUUGAUUGAUAUACCAUGCAAAAUUACAGCACUUGAUCUUUGCAGUGGUGUACAAGUUUGUACUUUAGAUUGCUACCCCACAAUGUUCUUUUCCUGCUUUUAAUGUUUGUUCGACAUCUUUGUGGUCAGCUUUUUGCAUUCAUUAGUACUAUUAGAAAUAUGUAGUGAUCUUCUGAUCUCUUGGAAGGUGUGAGGGUAAAUAUCCUAUUAGUUAGACUUGAGGACUUUUGACACUCUUCUAGUCUGUACUUAAAUCUUUGUUUUUUGGUUUAUGUUAAAUGAGCUUAAAGUUGGUUAUGUUGUUCUCCCUAUCACAAAUGUUAAUGCAGCAUUGCCGAGUUAUUGUCCUCUGACUGGUUUAUUGAAAACUCUAUUGGUCAUUUGCCUGUCAGAAUGGCUGAAUGGGUUCUUUUGAUUUUUGAAAUGUACACAAUGCUCAGUCAACUCUUAUGAUUGCCAUAAAUGUUGCCUUCUUCCAUCAAGAUUUAGUCAAUUUAAGACCAUGCACUAGAAUGAAUAAAUUAUUUGGAAUGUUUGAUAGAAUUUUUAGGAUGGUUAUCAACCUGAUGCCUAAAUCCGUGGCAAAUUCUAACUGAGGCAUAUUUAGGAGAGGAACUUAGCAUAAAGCUUAAAUUGUUAUCUAUAAUUUAAACUCAUUAAACCAAUAGGCAAUUGUUCAGUCAACUCUUACUGUUGUCUUUAUUGUUGCCUUCUUCCAUCAACCUUGAGUCAAUUUAAGACAACUUGGCAAAUUUUAGGUUGGGUUGUCUACCUGAUGCCUAAAUCCUUGGCAAAUUCUAGCCAAGGCAUAUUUAGGAAACGGCCAUAGCGUAAAGCAUAAAUUGUUAUCUAUAAUUUAAACUCGUGAAACCAAUAGGCGAUCAUCUUGGGGAUAAAAAAGAAGGUGAAACAACCAUCUUUGCUCUAGGGAUAAAUGGAAAUAGUGAAUAUCUCAAACAUGACUAAUAAGCCAAUAGUGAAAUGACUGUAUGCCUUGAAAUUUCAUUGCAAGGAAUGGCAUGUGUAUCUACACUGUUUAUAAAGCAUAGGCCCUAUGCUAUGCAAAGGUAGGAAGCUUCUUGGUGAUGUGUUAGGACCUUGUCCAUUGAAUUAUACUAAGUACCUAGCAUCUUUUUAUUUUUCCAAUAAGCUUAAGAAGUCUUGAUAUUCUUCAACAUCAUGAACUUGGGAAGAGUUGCAAUGUAAGUGAAUAUUGUAUCAAUGCAUGAAAAUACUUUAAAUUAUUUAGUAUAUCAAUAUUGGAUAUAUGGUGGAUAAGAUACUAGUAGGAUCCUUGUGGAUACAUGUCAAAUACUUUCCCGAGGUAUUCAGUAUGCCUAUGGUCUUUAGAUCACUUGUGGGUCCUUCUUUGGUAACUUGUUUACUUAAUUGUUGAUCUUUUAUUCUAGAUCAGAUAUAUUUUUCAUGUGAUUUGUAUUAAGCAUCAAAUAGUGAUGAAUUAUAAUCUUUCCUCGAUCAUUAAAAUUUUUGUUAUAUGCCUACGUUCAUGAAUCACUGAAUAACUAAAAAUAUAUCUCUCAUGAUGAAUAAUCAGGAAUGCAGCUAUUAUUUUCAUGAUAUGUGACUACAUAUUCAAAGUGUAUAAAUAAAUAUGAAUCUUUGUCAAAUAUAAUAAUACUAUUUGUUUAUAUAAUAUAUAAGUGGCCACAUUGUUGAUAUGGAAUCAAGUUUGUAAAGGAGUUCCAGGGAGUUUUGAGAGGAUGUGUUGAAAUAAUGCUGUUGGUAGCACAUUCUAGCCUGACACUGAUGCUAAUUGCUAAUGAAAUGUUGAUUGAAUGAAUCACAUAAAUCAGUAAAAAUAUCAGAAAACAUCGUGUUUAAGGAAAAAAAAUCAAAGUAUUUGUUGAUUAUUGGCAUCUUACCUAGGACUGCAAGAUGCAUGUUACUCAUCAAUAAUGAUAUAUUACUAGAAAGUUUGAUCUUAUUUUUGAAUCUGAUAUUUUUUUCGUUACUAUAUUGAAAUAUUGGCCCUACAUUAAACUUUUAUUUCAUGUGUGCUAUUUCAUUAUUUUGUUUUAUGCUACAAUUUAUUCUUUUUCUUUAUUUUUUCAUAUUUUGUGGCUUCUAUUACUCAUUAUUAUGUUGUUUAUUUUGCACUGUUUGAUGUACUAUGUUUUCUAGUUGAUUAAAAUUUUGAUGCACCAAUUAUUUUGGGAUGUUAUGGAUCAGAUUGGCCAAUUUUUUAAACCAUGAUUUUAUGAAAUGCUAUGAUGAAUUCUUUAUUAUAUUAUGAUCCCUUAUGACAGGCACAUUAGGAAGUUCUAGACAUCUUUAUCGAAUUUUAUAUGUAGUUCAUUUUAAAAUAGAUAUUAACUGUGUUGGUUAUACAUUUCCAGAAUUAAUUACCUUUUUUUAUUCUGUACCUAAAUUAAGCCUAUUAACUGCAUCUGAAGUACUUUACAGUUAAAAAUUUGUCUCCAUCUUUUUUUUCCAUUUUUUCAUCAGUGUCCAAUGGCAUGAACCUUUAUAGAAAAGAAAAAGAAAGAAGGUUGCUUAUAAAUUAUUAAAGUUAUAAUAUUGUUCUCUUUUAAUCUUUUGCUCAGACUUGAUUCAAAACUUCUAGCAACUUUUUGCAAUAAUGCAAAACUACAUUUACAAUGGCCUACAUUAUUACCUGAUAUUAGGGCUUUUAAUAGUAAAAUUUAUAGCAAAACAUGCAACAGAGUGAAGACCUCGAAGUUAUGAACUCGAUGAUAUUUUCUCUUUUUGUUUAGCUUUCUUGUUGUAUAAUUUAUUUUGUGCUUUUUCUAAGUGGAUUCUACAGUAGAAACAGAUCCUAUUUAACAUUGAGAUUGGAUCUCCGAAUUCGAUGAUUGGGAUUGCAUAACAUAGUGAAGAGGGAUAUGAAAACAUUUUGAAUUGAGACGUAGAACCUGUAUAGCAGUUGACGCAAAAUGCUGACUGUUGCCAUAAAGUUUGCUAAGUUGAUCUGUCACCAGUGUGACACUCUGAAGUAAAUCCUUAUUUUUAACUAGUGGGUUUUUACUGACAACUUCUGUUUUUAUGUACAUAAACCAAAUGUUUAGUUAUUACAAAACCUUUUUUAUGCUCCUGUUUCUCUAUGCAGUUCUUAUUUGCUUGAAGGUGGAGCAUGAUGGGCAUUUAAACACUUCCAUUAAGUAUCAUAAUAUGUGCACCUUAUAUUGGUCUCCUCUUCAUGUACAAAGAUUCACAAUCUGAUUUUUAUUUUCCUUUCUUGGUUGCCUACCAUUAUGUGGCACUCCGUUAUUUCUUCUGUUCCGUGUUACCAUACCUUUUAUCCAACAUCUAGGAAGGAGAAACCAUUCGCAUAAAUAUGAAGAACAAACCUGCUACGGGAGGUGGUAUGCUUUCAGCUGCUGGCUUGAGUGCAGGAAUCUCGAGCAAACCAAAAGGGAGCACACUCCUUGCACCACCACCAGGUGGGGCAGGAAAGGUCAGGUCGCCUCUUCCACCACCACCUAACGAUCCUGCAGUUGCUAGGAUGACUGCAGGUCAUCCUGCUGGAUUCAAGGCUCCCAAAGAAUCUACAAGGCAUCCUACUGAUUCUUUCUCUGAUCUUUCAGCCAUCAAGGUAUAACUCUGUGCGCUGUUAGAUUCUAUACCUUGCUUCUCAAUUUGUGAAAAUGGGAAAAUUUUAGUCCAAAUAAUGGAGUAUAAUUUUUGCACUAUGAUUUGUGCCAACCACUUUGCCCCAUGUGGCUGGCCUGGUACUUUCAGAACAAGGUUCGAUUGCUUUCUGCUCUUGUGCAUAAACUGAAGCUUCCUGGUUAGCUGAGAAAUUAAUCUCCUCCACUUGUCUUCUCCUUGGCUUCUUUAAUAAAAAUAUUCUGCCUCUUCAGCUUUUUUUAUCUUCAUAAUUGACAAGAUUCAUACUUGUGCUCAUUCAUUAACUUAUUUGUUUUUAUAGUCUUAAUGCUACAUCUGAGUUGCUUGAAAUAUCUAAGUCGCUUUCUUGAUGAUGUGCGUGCCAGUAAUCUCUGUGCCAACUUUUCAGUGCGUUUGGAUCUUAUUCUUGUUACUUAUGCAGAGAAAUCUGCCUUCUACGACUGGGUCAGGUUCGAAUAAAAACACAGCAUCUGGAUGGGCAUCAUUUUGAUGCAAAGUAACAUCAUCUACUAAGGGAACAAUACGCAAAUGCUCGCAUUUCCUAAGUAUCUAAAGAAUGAUUACAGGAAAAUUACUUGUUCUUAUUUUAGUCAUGGAUUGGACUGUCAAGUGCUUGGUGUAAGUGAGAGCAACCUUCUUCUUUUUCAUUUCCAUGAAACCGAUGUAACCUGAUUCUGAUCUUAUCUGUAUACAAGACAUUGUUGAAGUUCCUUAAAGGUUGUUUUGAAUCUGUGCUGUAUUGCUUCUUUGUUGGAAGUGGAAUCCUCUUUGAAUCCCACAGAUUUCAUUGAAAACUUUGCUGAUAAUGUUCAUAUGAAUCUCUUCUAAUGUGCAUCACUACAUCUGAUGCAAUCUAAUCUAUCCAGUAUAAGUCACUUUGGUGGGAGGAGCUGCACCAGACCCAGACUUAGUCCGGUUCUGUGAACAUGUCCAUUAUUGAUCUAUUACAAAUUUAAUACCAUUUUAAUCUUCUAUAAAUUUGAUAGAUUAAUUUAAGAAGUUGGGAGGAUAUCGAGGGGAUGCUAUUUAGAUAGACUGAACUAUUCCUAUGACCACUAACAGACCUGAUGUAAUAAUGCAAACCAUGAGUUGAUCCACUAAGAUUUUAAUUUCGAUCCCUACCAAUAAUACCAAUCAGUAUUUACCGAUCCGAUCAUGAACCAAUAUCAUCAGACCAGACCAUACCAUACGGAUCUCUAGACUCUGUCGUCGUGUACUAUUUAUUCUUAGAUGAGUUUUCUAUCUAUCCCUCUUCACUGAACCCAACUCACAAGACUGCAGAGUGAACCCAACUGUUUAGCUAUCCAAUUAAUUGUUCUUCAAAUGCGUCAAGAACUGUAGUCGAAGAACAACACUGGACUUUCAUGAACCACCAUCCUUCUCCUCUUAACCUGGCCUGAUGUGAUGUUUGAUCUCCGUUUGUGCCACUGUUAACGUACAAAGCAUUAAGCGCCACUUCCUAUUUACAUUUUGCAAAUAAAUCCAAGAGAAAGUUUCUUCCCCCAACUCUCUUCCACUUGUUUUCCAUGAAGUUCUUCACAGCUUCAAAGUUCAAAAUACUCGGAUGCACCAAGAAGUAACAACAAAUGACCCACACAACAUCAUCAAACCGAGAGAUAUGGAUGGCGUUGAUGUCUGAAUACGGAGUUGAGUUCCUAGUUUAACACAAAACAUGGACAAAAGUUACAAGACUUCUAAGCAAUAUUCAUAGGCCCAAUAUAUAUAUUACACAUAUUAAAGACACUUCAGUUAAGCUCCUCUAUCUACACUUGCAACCUUGAAAGACAGUACUAAUGGAAGUUACUCCAUGAAUACAAACAAUAAAGUUUCCAAGACUCGCCUAACAGCACAAGGCAUAGAAUGAGUCUUAAUUUCUUCGACGCUUGAGCAUAUAGUUUGAAGCAAAACCUAGAUCCAUCAAACCCCAAGAGAUCUAAACAGGUGAGGUGCACGAUACUUCGCUUUAGAACAAUAAAAAAGUUCAAAGCUCAGUACUUAUUCAGAACAUCUCACACCCGAAAGAUACACUAGAGAUUGUAUAACACUGCCUCCAAUCAUAAAACCUGGCAUGACCAUAAGCCCAACUUUAGGCUUUGAAUCUCCCUCUUCGAGAAUUAUGUUCUUCACAACACUUUCCAUAUAGACCUCCGAGAACUCGAUUCCUUUCUUCACCUGAAAAACCUCCACUUUAGGAUCAAAUGAAUACGCUAGCCUAUGUAAUAGCCAUACCGAUUUAGCCAGCUUUAGAAAAGCCUGGUAGAAUGGUGUCCUUGGGUGUCCACCACUCAUUACAUAGUUUCUCUGAUCCAGGUUACCGAAGAACGAGGCUUCCAUCUUUGGGUGCACGACUAAUAGGUACUUUUUCCGUGAGAACUUCCCAAAAACCGAGUCCGGAUUUUGGCUCAAUACAUCCAGUGGAUCCAUAGCUCUUAUAGCAAGAAACUGAUGGAAGAAACCCUCAUGAGAAGCAGUAAGAUUGGAUGGUUCCAUGGAGAAGUUCUCCUGGAACCCACUGAACAUUUUCUGACAAAUGUGUGACUCAAAUGCAUACUUCUUAUGAGCCCUUUUUGCAUAGACAACUGCAGAUUCAAUUGCGUUGGCUGCUGCAUCAAGAUCCCACCUGGCCAUUUUCAUCAUGUUAAUCAGUGGUUUUGAGAAGUCAUGGAUGGAUUUGUAUGCUGUGUCCACAGCAGAAGAGAAAAGACUCGGAGUCAACUCGAUGGAGAAGAAACUGUUUUCUUCUUCAAAAGCCUCUGAUUCCUUGGGAAGCAGACCCCUCUGCUUAAGUUUCUUCUCCAAUUUCAUCUUUCUCUGGCCGGACUCCUGGAUUUGUUUCUGCAUUUGAACAAUCUCAGAGUCUCUUGUUUGAAUCUGGGACUGAAAUUUCUUUACCAUGACUUCAUAGGUUUUGAGUAAGUUUUGUUGCUCUUGGAUUUCAGCAAGUAGGCGUGAAUCUUUAGGUGAUGCUGAUGUGAGUUUGGGGUUUUUAUCCCUAUAGGAAUGUUUGAGUUCGGAAAGCUUCAUUAGUUCCUCAAUUACAAGUUUAUCAGCAGCCUGUAUCUUGUCCGGAUCAUAGGGAGUAUGAGCAUUCUGAAGUUGAAUGUAUGCAGCUUUCAGAGAGGAAAUGUUGUUGAAGAUCUUUAAUAUCAGUGCAUCCAUGGAUUCCUUGUUAUGAUUCACAGUCUCAUCUAUUGGUUGAGGAUAAACCUUCUGGUUAUUGUUAUCAUGACUUUCUGUUUCCUUGUGCCCUGUUCGUAGCAUAGCUUCCUUCCCUGAAGUAGCAGCUCUUGUGGUUCUUCUUUGACAGACAACAAACAAACCUCAGCCUGUAUAAUUUCCUAAAUCAUGUAACAGUGUAUUAAUAUUUACAAAUAAAGCAAUUAUGGUUUAGAACUUAUACAGCCAAGUAAAACUAGAAAUAUCAGCAGGAUAACAUUCGAUGGCUCAAAUAUUCUCGUGUAGUUCAAUAUAAAAAAAAAUCCAAUUUAUACACCUUUCAUGAACUCUUCCCAAAUGGCCCAGCAUUAUGGUCUCCAUGUAUGUUCCUAGCUGGCACAAAAGAUAAGUAACCCAAGGUAAACUGAAUUUUCUAAAUAAAAAUAAGAUGGCAAAACUGUUUAUUCCCAAGAAUUGCUCAUUAUAGGUGCAGUAUUGUCCAAAGAAACUUCACCAACAGAGUGUGAUUUUUCAAGGGAUUUACAGCAGGACUUAAAACAGGAUCUUUUCUAAAAUGCAAGUUAGAAUUGCAUAUUUGUUUGCAUGCUCCUCAGCGAUGUUUCAUUUCCGCUACUACUUUCUCCUGUAAUAAGCCAAUGACUGAUGAUCUGGUAUCGAAGAGACUGGAGAAACAGGGGAGAAAAGAGAGGAGAUGGAGGAUCAAGCCCAGUGAAACCAUAUUAAAAUAUAGCAGUUCUGUAGCAAAUAAAGAUCAUGGGGUUUUUCUUUUGGGAAGCAGAUAUUUGCUUCCAUGUAUCACUAUUUAAUCUACAUGGCCAAGUAGAAACGUGAAUAGGUAAACAGUUUUUCAUGAAAUACAGGAAAUGAAUUAUGAACAUCUAUACAAAGAAAAGUUCAAAUUCAAGCUCAAACAUGUACGUAUACAACUCAAGCCAUAUUCGCAUAUUUUGCAAUCACAAGAAGUUAAUCUAAUAAAAAAAAGAAGAAAACAAACAUACAACGUUUCUUUUGGGCACUUUAUAAAUCCACAAUAUAACUAACUUGGUGUUAAUCAGUUUUCAUGUGGUAUAUGCAUCAUACAUCAUCCAUUUGAAAAUUUUAAUGGUUGUGAUCCACAAAUGAACUCUCAUUCAUCCUUUCAUCCAGAGAUCUAAUACCUAAACUGUGCAUUCAAACCUUCAAACACGUGAUAUUCAUACAUUUCUUCCAAGAGAUUGCAAUAGCAAAUACAAACUUAAUUGUAAGCCAUAAAAUUAUUUCAGUCCAACAUAAGUUUAACGAAAUAAGAUCCUAAGCAAAUCAAGUAAAAAUCAUACAUUAAUUAAACAUGCAGUAAUCAUAAAAUGACAAAGCAUCUUCAGAGUGUAUAAUAUAUUCAGCAAAGAUAGAACUUCCUAUUUAACUUGGAAAACUUUUAUCGAAAUUAUACAUGUCGAAUACAAGCUAAGAGGUCAGCAUCAUCUAUAAUCAUGCAGGAAGACAGCUUGAUAAUUGGUUAAAUUUGCUUAGUUAUGCGUUCCGAGCUCAUGAGGCCAUGUUUUGGUGACAAAUGCAAAAGGAAUUCUUUUGCUUUGGUCUACCCACCUUCUAAGCUAAGUGAUAACGGCCGUUUUAGCCCUAAAAUCUUUCUGUUUUGCAGCAUUAGAUGACAUAAAUCAGGAUGAAAAAGAGUGCAGGUACAUGCCUCUCUAUACAUGCACAUGCCAUAUUUAUAUCAUUUUUUCUAUGAAAAUAAUAAACAAACAUUACAUAGAAGGAUAUGAAGUCACCAGUUAUUUCCGAGUUCUAAAAACUUGGACAAUCUCUAUUUGCACAGGCUGAUCUGUGUACAAGCCAAAUAUCUGAGAUAACGAUUCUAGUUCUUGGAGAGUCAAGAAUCGGAAAGAAUUGGCCAAUCAGCAACAGGAUCAAAUGGGAUUAGCCAACCCUCCUAAUCUUAGCCAUGAUCCAAGCAGAAGAAGAGAAAGGAGGAAAGAAAAAGAUACGAAAAGAGAGGGAAUGAAAAGAGGAAAGGAACUCAACUUCAGAAUAUAGAAUUUAGAAAAAGAUACCAAGGGGGGUUUAAAGGGUCCUUUUUUAGGAUUCAGGAAUGAUAUCAGAGAAAAAACAGAAAAAAAUUAUUCACCAUUGAACGUUUAGCUUAUAUCGAUCUAGAAGUUAAAAAAGAAAUAAAAACCAAAUGCAAUUUAGAAACAAGGAUACAAGUUAAGCAGUAGAAUUCCCAAAUACAAUUUAGUUAAGGUUCAUUUGUAGAAAAACUAAUAGUAGACUGCUUCAUAAAGUUGUAGCAACAAGAGAAAAUGAAUAGAUAAUGAAUAGAUAAAUAUCAGAAUUCUUAGAAUUGACUGGAAGACCAAGUCAGAGCAGUCCACGAACUAUACUAGGAAAUAUAGACUAUAUAAGAGAUCAGAUCAAAGAAGCAGUUGAAUUAAUAAAGCAAAGUCCUAAUAAAAAGAGCUGAAAAAGGCCGUAGAAGCAAUAAACAUCACUGAUCCUAAAACUAUUAAGCUAGAAACUAAACAAUUAUUAAUUGACUUACAAAAAGAAGUAGACUAUGUUAACGGAAUAAUAAAAAUUUGCAAAUACAAAUAAAAGAUAGAAAUAAGAUUGUGCAUGAGUAAGGUGGAUAAAACAUUAGGAAAAGCCAUAAACAAACCAAAGGCUAAAAAUAUACCCGCAGUAGACUUUGACACAGCCAAAUACGAUAAAAAUAGCAAUAAAAAAAGGACUUCGAGCAUCAAAAGAUUCAAUACAUGCAUAAAGAAUGCUACAAGACUGGCUAACAUAACAAAAAAGACAAAAGUUGCAGAUUACUUGCAGACAAAAAAAGAUCAGUGCAAACACUCUAUUAGUCGAUCAGAAGCACCAUCUCCACCUUUACAGAAAAAAAGUUCCUCUUUUUCUUUUUUCCCAUAGUCAUCUAACCGAGUUAUCAACUUGAAGCCGGACAUGGAAACAUAAGAAAUCGCAGAAAGGGUAAGUACUCGCCUUCUGCUCUAUAUGGUUUAUUCCGCUCAUCGAACAAUAAAGACAAGCAGAAUCUAAGCAAACGAGAAGCGACUGGGAGUGAUCUUACUCUUUCUCGUCGAGAAUGUGGAAAUCGACUGCGAGGAGGCACUCGGAUCGGAGGAUAUCGAAGGAGGAGGGUGGCCGGAACGCCUUUCCUAGGGCUCACUUUCCCCGUCGGCUCGGCUCCCGUACUGCAUAGCUAGCUAGGUGAGGUCAUGUGUAAAUUGCAGAUAUACCCCUGUAAACAUUUGAAAUUGUGGUCCUUUUUCCACAUUAUUAAUGAAGGACAAAUAUAUAUAUAUAUAUAUAUAUAUAUUAAUAGAAUGACUUGGAAAUAAAAUUUAAAUAAACAUAAGUACCUAAAAAAUUAUUUAUAUUAUUUAAAAAACAAAUUGAACUGAAUAUUUUUCUAUUAUUUUCAAAAUUUAUUAACCAAGAAAUAUAUUGUAUAGAUGUUAAGUAAUGUUAUAAAUUUGAACUGAAACCAUAUUUUAAUUAAAAAUAUUUAUUAUUGCAAUGUAUAUUUAUCUCAUAUUUUAAAUUAAACAUAGCACAUGGUAAGAAAUUAGGUUUCAAAAUUUAGUAUCCAAACCUCCAAUUAGGUCUAUAUGAUUCUCAUAUAAUAUUUUAGUUAUUGUAUGUGUUCAAAAUUUAAUUCUAUAUUUUUGUUUCACUUCAACUUUUUAUUAAAAAAAAUUAACUAAAUUUUAAUUAAUCUAAGGAGGAAGAGAACAAUGGGAAGGUGGCAAAGGAGGAAAUAGAUGAAGAAGAAAAAGAAGAGAGGAGGAUCAAUAGGAGAGGAAGGAAUUGGAGGAGGAUAAUAGGGAAGAGACCGAGGAGAAAGGCUUUGGAAAUUAUGAAGGGUUAUUGAUCCGAAUCGAUUGAAAGAAUAUAAAAAUAUAUAUUAUUUCUAAGAUUGAAGAUAAAAUUAAAUUUUGAAAAAAAAAAUAUCUUUCAGUAAAUUAUCCAUCUUAAAAAUAAUAUCUUAAAGAGUAUAUUAUAUAAAGAAAAUAAGAAAAAAAAAAUUCACACUAAUUGAGUAUUUGUAAUGCAAUAGAUAAAAACUACGUUUUAAAUAUUAAGUAUUGUCUCAUAAAAUUAUAUUUCAAAAGUUCAUUGAAUAUUACGUGACAAAUUUAUUCUUCUACUAUUUUAAAUAUUUAUUCAAAAGUGACUACAUAUUUUUUAUUUGAAUUAAUAAUUAAAUAAAUGAUGUUAAUUUCUCAAAAAUAAUAUAAAAAAUAAAAUAAAAUUCAACCUUGUAGAAGACAUAAAUGGUGUUAAUUUCUCACUAAAUCAUAUGAACAAUUCUAUAAUUUUAGAUAAUAUUAUAGAAUAUUUUAAAAAUUUUAAAAAUUAUAGUAACAUCCCACAAAUAAUAAAAUGCUAAUGGGGAUUUAAACAUUUGUAAUGCACCAUUUAGGCCAAAUCCAAUUGAAAAAAACAAAAAAAAGAAAACUUACUAAACACCAAAUUACAUAUAAAAUAUGUAUUAAGUCCUCGUUGCAUAUUUUAAAUGUGUGUUUCCAUGGGCACCCUCCCUAAAUCACACAAAUCCUAUGGAGGUUGAAUAGUAUUAUUAUCUUCACAUUAACAUCAAAUUUCAAUAGAGAAUAUUAUUUUACAGAUUAGAUCUAAGUUAGCAUCGCAUGAACAUUCUAAGAUGGUAUAAAAUAUUUAGUUUUGUAAGGUCAUAAUGCUUGGUUGGGGAGCAAUCAUAACCGUAAAUGUCGUCACAUUAGAUCCAUCCAUAUUAGAUAUAAUCUCUUUUGAGUUUGAUGAAUAAUAGUGGUAAAUAUAUCUAUCUAUCUAUCUAUCUAUUUAUAAUAUAACAAAGAGAGGUUGAGCUCAAGCCACACUGGAUUUCAUAUCUCUUUAUAAUGUGACAAAGGGUGUGUUUGAUAACACAUUUACUUUUUUUCUUUUUAAUGUAUAAUAGAGAAAGCGAUAAUGAAUGUAUAGUUGUGGAAUGUGUUUGGUAAGUAAUCGAUAAAAACUAUAUUGACAUAAGUGUUAUUUGGGUAAAAUUAAGUAUAUUUGAAAACUUCAAAUUAAAUAUUAUGAGACAAAUUUAUCAUUAUAAUAUGUUUUAAUAUUUAAUUUAAUAUAUAUAUAUAUAUAUAUAUAUUUAAAUUAAUAAAUAUAUGGAAUUUUUUUAAAAAAAUAUAUGAUUUUUAGAGAAAAUAAGGAUUAGGAUGUCAAUUAUAUGGUGAUAAUCUUAUGAUUCUAAAGAAUAUCAUAGGGUAUCUUAGAAAAUUAAAAAAAAAUCAUUAACAUCCCAUAAAUACUGAAAUGUUAAUACUAUGAUUUUUUUUAAAAAAAAUAUAUAUCAAACAUCAUUGCACAUUUAAAAUAUAAAAUAUAAAAUAUAAAAUAUAUCGAACAUCAUAAUAGGAAAAGUCACAUGAGAGAAAAUUUCUUGGAGUUCCGCGAACGACAAUGCUAUGGAUCAGAAACAUUUUACGUCGACAUUAAUUGUUUCACGCGUUGAAUGGUCACUUAGAACAACAAUACAUGAAUUCAGCAGUGUUUGCAACUCUCACACACCAAAUAUUUGCAACUCAAAACACCAAAAAGACAGACACGCAAUCACAUCUUCUAAGAACAGCAAUAAAUAGUUCAAGCACUCGAAACAAUCACAUCUUGUAACGACAGACGAAGGCCAAUUCAUCUGAAAUAUGGUAAUUAACGUUUGCGAGUUGACAAUUUCGAAUCUUUCGAUGCAGUGAGUUGGGCAACUUAGGAAAGUCAGUCAGUCAGUAAAAUCUUCGGGACCGGUCUUUCACAUCGAGAAUACAAAUCCUAAAUAAGUUACUUUUCUACGGGAUGGAAACUUCUUUAAAGUUAUCUACUUUAUUAUACUUAAAAUGUGUUGUAUGUUCUGAUAAAAAUAUAUGGAAUAUGGGUACAUGUUUUAGAAAAUAAUUAUAAUGGGGUAAGUUGUUCUCAUGUCAAGCCAUCCUCUUCUUCCUCUUCCCUCUGAACACUAAAAUGACAAUGAUUAACCUAUUUACAUGUGCAGUUUCUUGUGAAUACAAAGAUUAUUAUGAAAAAAUAAAAUAUUACGAUACAAGUAAAAAGAAAUCUUUCGACUCAAGAAAACUGAUGUAGUAUUAAAAACAGGAAGAUUGAUAAGAACACUUAUAAGAUACCAAAUGCACUCAGACUCACUCUCUAUCUCUAUGCCGUGCUAACUAUCUAGAUAGAUAACUAUGAAUCAAAUCUCAAACACUCCCCCUUGAUUCAUAGUUGCAUACACCAAUUUGCGACAUAAAAUAAACAUUCUUUCGAACCGGAAGUGAUUUGGUGAGGAUAUCCGCAACUUGUUCAUCCGUUCCAUAAUAUUUCAUUGUUAUGGCUCCACUUGCCUGAAGUACUCUUUCAAUCAUCUAAAGCUCCUACAUAAUCACUAUCAGUGAAACCAAAUAAUUUGCAUUUAAAUUUUGUUUUGAACAUCCAUUUUAACCCAAUCGCUUUCUUUUCUUUUGGUAGAUCCAUUAGCUCCCAAGUUUCAUUCUUCUCAAUUGACUUGAUUUCCUCCUUCAUUGCUUUUCUUCAUUCCUCUUUUUUAAUUGCUUCCUCAAAAGUUAUUGGAUCUGAAAUAAACAAAGCAAAUGUUGAGUUAUAAAUUUCUGUUAGUGAUCUGAAAUUUCUUGGAGGGGUUUCAGAUCACUAACUGCUAUUGGGUGAGGUUGACGAUGAAUUUGUUGGAGCAGGAUCUGUCACUUGAUUCUGCGGAGUGUCUAGUUCUGCUGGAAUUUGCAUUUGUGUUUCACUUUUAUUGGUCUCCCAAUUUCAACUUGCCCUUUCAUUAAACAUAACAUUUCUGUUAAUAAUAACUUUGCCACUAACAGGGUUAUAUAAUCGAUAUGCUUUCGAUUGUAAAGAAUAACCAAUUAAAAUGCAUUUCUCUGAUUUUUCAUCAAGUUUGUGAUGAUUUUGUGAAUUCACCAAAGCAUAAGCAAUACAAUAAAAAAUUCUUAGAUGUCUAACACUUGGUUUCAUACCAUACCAAGCCUCAAAAGGAGUUCGAUUCAUAACAACCUUUGUUAGUAAAAUAUUCAACAAAUAAAUUGUUGUUGCAACUGCUUCUGCCCAAAAUUGAUUUGGAAGAUGUUUUCCUUUAAGCAAACUUCUUACCCUUUCAACGAUAGUCCGAUUCUUACGUUCAGCUACACCAUUUUGCUCCGGUGUAUAUGGUGCUGUCAAUUCUCUGUGAAUACCAUUUUCUUCACAAAAAGAACUAAACUCAUUAGAUAAAAAUUCACCAUCUCUAUCUGUCCGAAGUGUCUUUAUAUAUCUACCACUUUGUCUUUCUACGAGUGCCUUAAACUUUCAAAAAUUAUCAAAUGCUUCAGAUUUCAAUUUCAAAAAAUAUACCCAACUCAUGCGACUAUAAUCAUCCGUAAACAAUAAAAAAUAUUGACUUCCACCAAAUGAUUUUGUAUUCAUAGGUCCACAUAAGUCAGCAUGAAUUAAUUCAAGAUAAUUAGAUGCUCUCCAUGCUUUUCUAAUAGGAAAUAGUUUUUUUACUUUAUUUCCCAUAAAUACAUCCUUCACAUACAUCAAGUGUAUUAAUCUUGGGCAAUCCGAAAACCAUUCCUUUUUGACUUAACAACCUUAAACCUUUAAUGUUAAGGUGUCCAUAUCUUAAAUGCCAUAAACUAGACUCAUUCUUUUGAGUUGUGAUAAGCGCAUGCCUUUCAAUAUUUGACACAUCAAGUAGAAACAUCUUGUUUUAUGUCAUGCAAACAUUUACUAUAAUCAAACCAGAUUUUUUAUCUCUAAUAGUGCAUGAACCAUCAUCAAAUAUUACUGAAUAUCCAUCAUCUACUAAUUGUCCAACACUCAACAAGUUAGUGAUAAAAUAAGAACAAAGAAAAUAUUAUCAAGGUAUUUUACCUUUCCUUGAUUUGUCUUCACCUCAAUUGUUUCUUUUCCUUCCACUUGGAUUUGCUUGCUAUCUCCAAGUCUAACUUCCAACUUGUGAGUUUCAUCAAUAUCUCUAAAUAUUGAUUUUAUGCAUGACAUAUGAUUAGAACAUCCACUAUCCAGAAACCAAAUAUCAUUUGAGAUAUUAUGAACAUGUGAAUGAGUCAUAAACAACUUACUAUUUUCUUCAUUUUUCUCUAUAUAGCUUGCUUGCUUUUCUCUUUUCCAGCAAUCUGCCUUCAUGUGACCAAACUUUUUACAAUAGUGACAUUGAAUUCCACUUUUGUAAUUUUUUUGAUCAUAAUUUGAUUGCCCUUGUUCAUCAAAGUGUCAUCUUCCUCUUCCAUUUCCUCUACCACGAAAUCCUCCUCUGCCACGUCCUGAUUUUUUGUCUUCUUUUGAAGUAGAAGACUCUUUCUUAAUCUGAAAUGCUUUUUUUUUUACUUUUUUCAAGUGAUCUGUUCAACCUUACUUCAUGUGCUUGUAAGGAACCUAUUAGUUCAUCAAAUGAAUAAGUAGAUAAAUCUUUUGAUUCCUCAAUUGCGGCAACAACAUGAUCAAAUUUUGGAGUUAAACUUCUCAAAACUUUUGCAACAAUUAUAUGAUCAGAAAGAUGUUCACCAUAAGAUUUCAUUUGACUAACAAUUUCAGUCACUCGAGAAAGAAAAUCUUGCACCGAUUCAUUGCUUUUCAUGAAUAAAAUUUCAAACUCAUGACAGAGGGUUUGAAGUUUUACCGUAAUCACCCUUGAUGAGCCUUGAAAUUCAUUUUGAAGUAUCAACUAAGCUUGCUUUGAGGUUGUCGCUGCUGCAAUUCUUGAGAAGAUCGUCUCAUGUACAGUUUGUUGAAUGAAGAACAAUGCCUUUGAGUCCUUCUUUCUAUUCUCCCUCAGCCUGAUUUCGUCAUCUGAAUCUACAUAUCCAUUCUCUAUUAAGUCCUAAAGAUCUUGAGACUUGAACAGAGUCUUUAUCUUGAUACUCCAAAAUUCAUAGCUUUUGCCCGAGAAAAUUAGGAUAAGGGGUUGAGACAUGAAAUUACCGUUAAAAGCCAUAAUGCCCUGUUCAGAUUGAAACUAAGCUCUGAUACCAUAAAUAUUGGGGAUGGAGGAGUAAGGAAAAAACAGAAUACUACGAUGCAAGUAAAAAGAAGUCUUUCGACUCAAGAAAACUGAUAUAGUAUUAAAAACAGGAGGAUUGAUAAGAACACUUAUAAGAUACCAAAUACACUCAGACUCACUCACUAUCUUUCUCUAUCUUUAUGCCUUACUAUAAACUACGAUCCUAUUUAUAGGACCUAGUGACAACCACCCUAUAACUACUAGAUCAUGAGGUAGUUAUUGAAACCACCUUAUAACUACUAUAUCAUGAUUGAGGUGGUUAUUUAAAUCAUCCUGUAACCACUAAAUCAUGAUAACUAUCUAGAUAUAUAACUAUGAAUCAACCUGGGACCUCUUCUGAAGCUCAUACCAUACGGAAAAAGUUGUUCCUUGAUCCUGCAGCAGCGAAUCGAUUCUUGUGAUCGAGGUGUUCAACGCCAAACAAGUCGUCGGUCGCGAAGGUACAAAGGAACGCUGGAAGACAACAGGGCAGUGGCGAUAAGAGGUCUACGAUAAUGGACGAGGGCCGAACCAAGGAGUUUGCCAGAGAGAUGCUCAUUCUUUCGCAGAUCAACCACAAGAACCUCAUCAAGAUCCUGGGAUGCUGCCUGGAAGUGGAAGUUCCGAUGCUGGUGUAUGAGUUCAUACCUGACGGCACUCUCUUCCGGUGUAUAUCUACGUGACAAGAACCACAAGAUUUCCAAUAGCGAUGGAAACUCGUCUGAGCAUUGCGGAAGAAACAGCAGCAGCACUGGCCUACUUGCAUUCACCAACUUCUCCACCCAUCAUCCAUGAAGAUGUCAAAGUCCUCCAGCAUCCUCUUGGAUGAGCAGUACUCAGCCAUAGUGUCUGAUUUCGGAACUUCCAAGCUGGCUCGCAACGACGAAGCUCAGCUGGCCACAGUAGUGUAAGGCACCUGUGGGUACUUAGGACCAAUACCUGUGUGUAAGACAGAGAAGAGUGAUGCGUAUAAAAGAAAAUAAUUAAUUUUCUCAAAAGAAAUAUUCAUUAUAUCAAGAAAGAUUUAUUAUAUAAAAAAUUUCUCGAAAGAAAAUGAUUCAUUUUAAAUAUAAUUAAUGUAAUGUAUAUUUGAGUGGGAUCUUCCAAAUCAAUAUGAUGAUGGGCCAACAUGAUCGAUGCAUCAACUGUUGCUCGUUAUGCUAGUGGGAGAAGUACCAUGGAGAUUCUACCUCUGUUGGAUGUGGAAUUGGGACGAUGAUACAAGUAGAAUUGAAACAUUACGAGCGAGUUGUGCCUCAUAAUUAUAUUGAAUAUGGUCACCAUGUAAAGGUGGUCAAAUAUAUGAUACCUAAUGUCAUAUUUCCCUAUAAAUAGAUAAGGAUUUAUUAUGGUAGGGGGAAGAAGGGAGAUUAGAAUAAGAUACUUCUAACAAUGAAAGAGGGGUUUUUUUAAAAAAAUAUUUUUUAAAAACUUGAUAAAAUUCAAUUAUUUUUAUGGCUCACACACAUAGUUAAAGGGAAUAAAUCCUAGUUUUAUAUAGCCCAAUAAAGACUCAACAUAAUGUAUCCUAUUUAAUCUCCAGGUGAAAUCCAAAUUAAAUUCUUCUCAUCUUUUGAGUACCAAAUUCUAACUUGUUUAUUAUCAUACCAUGAACUCAUUAUCAUACCAGAUACUUCUAACAUAAGUUGGAAUACAAGCGGUGGUUCAAGUAGUCCAAUUAUAAAUAUAACAAACACUCUUAACAUUCUUCCUUCUUAAAUUUGUUCCUCUUCUACAUCAAGUUUCAUAUUUGAAUAUUUCAAUUGUUAGGGGUUUUGCAAAAGUAUCCUUGAUUUGUUCUUACAAAAGUCUCUUCAUAUUUUUGUUCUUAACAAUCUUUAUUAUAAAAUAAAAUCUUAUAUCGAUCUAUUUGGAUCUCUCAUGAUGGAUUAGAUUUUUUGCUAAGGUAAUAAUCAAUUUAUUAUCAAUAUAAAUCUUGGUUAACUUCUCUUGUAACACAUAAAAUUCUUAAAAUAAUCUUCUUAGUCAAAUUACAUGACAAACACAAGAAGAUGUUGCUAUAUAUUUUGCUUCACAACUUGAUAGAGCAUCAUUAGCUUUCGGCUUAAUCACUGUCACUGUAUCUAUCAUGCUUCAAACUUUUAGAUUAUGAAUAAAAUAUAAUAUAGUCAAUUGUACCUUUAAUAUAUCGUAAAAUUUUUUGACAUCUAUGUCUCGGGAGCUUCUAUAUAUCUACUUAUUAAAUUAACUUGAAAUAGUAUAUCUUAGUGACAUCUAUGUCAAAUAUCUUAGUGAUUUUAUAAUACUUCUAUAAUAAGUUGGAUUGAUUGGUUGGCUAGUUUGGUAUCACAUUCAAUGGGUGUAUCAAUUGGUUGGCAAUCCUCCAUACAUAAUUUCUUCAAUAUAUCUUUUGUAUAACUUGCUUAUGAAAUAAAUAUCCCUUUAUUGCUUUAUUUGAACUUAAUGCCUAAGAAGUCUGUCAUCCCAAACUUUUUCUUCAUGAAAUGCUUAAAUUCUUUGAUCAUAGAGGAAUUAUUGCUUUGUAAAUACUAGAUAAUUUAUAUAUAGGCCUAUAAACAAGAAAUCUCUAUGAUCAUUCAUUUUUAUGUAUAGAGCAUAUUCAUAAAGGUAUUUGGAAAAAUUAAUUUAGGUAAAGUAUAUAUCGAUUUAAGAAUUUCAAGAUCUUUAUGGUUAUUAAGCUCGUAAAGAACUUUUUUCAAUUUGUAUAUCAUGUCUUUUUCUCUAUGGAUAAUGAAAAUGAAGAAUUGUUGCACAUAAAUCUCUUCUUAAAUAUAUCCAUUUGAGAAAUGGUAACUUGAUAUCUAUAUGAAAGAUUUCUCAUUUUAUUUCAGCAGCUAAGGAGAUGAGCAAACUCACUAUCUCCAACUGAAUUACCAGCAUACAUAUUUAUCAUAUUAUUGUUUUUAUCCUUUUGCCAUCGAUCAAACUUUAUGUUUCUCUCUACCUCUCUUUUUGUAUUUAUCUUUAUUUUGAAUAUUCAUUUAACUCCAAUCAACUUGUUCCCUUUGAUAAGUACAGUAAGUUGUUUUUGACUCCAAUCAACAUGCAUCUCUUCAUUCAUAUCAUUUCUUCAUCAGAUUAAUGGAUCAUAAUUUAUAAAAAGAUUAAAAAAAAACUCAUCGUCAUUAGUAUCAAAUUUUUGGGUCACAUUAUAUAUCUCUUGGAUCAUCUUUGUUAUAUUUAUAAUUGGACUACUUGAACCACCGCUUGUAUUCCAACUUAUUUUGGUGAUAAUUCAUGAGAAACACCUUCUCCAUUAACUUCUAUUGUUUCAUUUUCUUCUAGAAUAAUACUUUGUUUUGGUGGAUCUUUGUUGUUCCAACUCCAUAUUUAUCUUUUAUCAAAUUUAACAUCUCUUAGCAUCACAAAUUUCUUACUGAUAGUAUUAUAUACUUUAUAGCCUUUAAAAUUUUUAUCAUAAAAUAAAAUAUAGCUCUAACAUUUAUCCUACUUUCUUCUAGUAUUUUGGUAUAAACAAUACAUUCAAAGAUUCUUAGGUGGUCAACUCUCGGCUUCUACAAGUUCCAUGCCUCUUCAAGUAUAACAUUACCAAUUCUAUUUGUAGAAAACUUGUUUAGUGGAUAAACUAUAUAAACAAUAGCAUCUCUACCCUAUUAUAUUGAGGUGUAUAAUGCAUGGUGCAUUGAUGUAUAAUUUCAUUAUCGUUAAAAUAACUUUCAAAUUUAUUUGAUAUGUAUUCACCUCCUUUAUAUAUUCUUAAACGUUAGCUUAUAGCCACUUUAUGCCAACCAAGUUUCUAAACUCUUUAAAAUUAUUAAGCACUUCUUUCUUCUCCUUUAAUAAAAAAUAAACCUAUGUUUUGCCACUAUAAUCAUAUGUAAAAGUAAGAAAAUACCUAUUUCCAACACUUGACGGAGGAGUGAUAGGACCAUAUACAUUCAAGUAUACCAAGGAAAGUUUGUAUCAUUUUGAAUGAUCUCCAUUGUUGCUUGCGCCUGAUGCAUGCUUCACAAAGCUUGGUUGGAUGCUCAAUCUUUGAUAAGCCUAUCGCCAUAUUAUUCUUCUCCAAAAGCUUCAAAAUUUAUGUAUCCAUAUCUAAUAUGUCAUAGUGUAGAAUCAUCCAUAACACUAAUAUUUAAAUAAUUUAUUUUAUUAGUAUCCAAUUGUCUAAGAAACAUCUUGUUUUUAGUCAUUUUUACAUGAGAGAUUAAAGUCUUAUUCUUGUCAUAUGUAGAGAGAGAUAAAAUUUUAUUUUAAUAUCAUAUCUUUUUUUAAAAUACUAUUCUUCAUAUCAGGAAUAUAGUAAAUAUUUGAAAUGCAUACUUGCCUCUUACUAGUUUUUGUGAUAAAUCAUAAAAUGUAACGUUGCUGAAAUAAUUCAUAUCAAUUUCAGUAAAAAAUUCCUUGUAGUAGUAGUCGCUCAUGUGAAUGGAAGUAUUAUAUCUAGAUACCAUGUUAUAUUAUAAAUUGGAUAUCUUUCAAAUCAACAUUAGCCAUUAGUAGGAUGAAAUUAUUAUUCGUUUAUUUUAUAUUUAUAAAAUUUAUAUUCUAACUUAACAUUAGCCAUUAGGUUUAUAAUAGCAAGCCACAGCAUAUCAUAGGGGCUGAACUUCUUACAAACAUAACAUUGUAUUUAAGAUUUGUUAUACCUCCUAUUUUUACCUCGAUCUCAACCUUGACCUUUUUGGUUUCAGUUCUCUUUCAUUUUAGUUGUUUUAUGCUUCUUGAGUAGGUUGACCUCUUCAUCUUCCUCUUUGCUAUGAAACCUUGAUUCUCCUUUGUUCUCCUUCUUUUUCUUUUUCUUUUAAGCAUAAUGGCAAAUUUAAUACCUCGGAAAAACAAACGAGAAGAAGAGAUAAAAUUUUCUUUUAGUAAACACAAAUUUAAUGCUUUUAUAAAUCAUAUCUUGUUCCAACAAAACGAAGAAAAAGUCAGCAUUUGCUUUUAUUUUCUUUUUUUAUCGGCAUGGAACAGAGAUAGCGUUCAAAUUUCUCUGGAGUCCCAUAACAACUUGCUCUUUUGUUUCUUAUAUUAUGUGCUGUUAUUGGUAAUGAGUGACUCUGAACAAUUCAAAAGAAUUGAGUCGACCAAGGAUUAAAUAUUAUCUGGCCAACCGCGAGAGCCCAUUACUUGGAACAUGCUCUGCAUGACACAGAUUUAUCAUGAUAUUUGUACUUUAUGGUUCUUCAUCCCAUGAUAAUUCAUUGAUCGACUGUUGUUGAUAAUGUGAUCCAAUUAUUUGGACAAUUUACAGUUUUUGCAUCAGGUAUAGAAAUCAGUUGGAUCACAUUAUCUUUUUCUUUUUUUUCUCUAAAGGUAAAUGAUAAAGACGAAAUCCAAGCCGACGAUCUUACGAUGAUCUAUCAGUCUUUAUCAGCUAAGUUAAUUGGCAUCUUCACAACCCAGUUUUAAGUUUAAUCUCCCAAGUGCUUGACAAUGGAAGCCGGAUAAUGAUCUGUAUCAACUACGUAUGCUUAUGACAACCUCCGGAUUGUGCUUUGAUGCUGUCGAUAAGGUAACUUUGACAUGCUUCAACAAUUCACUUAGUCAUAUGUGGAAAACUAUUGGAUAUAGAUCUUAGAUCAAUAGUUGCCAAGAAGAAAGCUAUGCUCGACAAAAGUUUUCGCUGAAUUAGAAGACAGUAUGUCCAUGUAAAACACACAAAUUUUAUUUAUUUCUGGAUAAUAUCCUUGAAACUCUGUUAUCGUUGGAAUUAUCAUCAAUAAUUUAUACCAUAACUUGUUGAAGAAUAGUAGUUUAUUACAGUACCAAAGAUUUUUUAGAUUCUCCGUACGUAUGAUUAGCAUUAGAUAUAUGUCUAAGCUUGAUGACACAAUAAUAUGAUCGUGAUCAUUAAGAAGAACGAGCAUCAGUGCUUUGCAGCAAAGACCAACUUUUCUUAUUUGAUGGAAGUAUGAAUUUGUUCUUCCAAGAAAUUGCCACCUUUUUCUACUGAAGCAGUGCUAUGUCCCAAUGCUUGCAUUCGAGUACAGUUCAGUUUGAGGCCAUUCAUUGUCUCUCGCGGUCUGGAGCUGAGUUCAGCUACUGAAGCUGAGGGUACACGACGAGACAAUAUUCAUAUCAUACACAACCAUGCAAACACAAAAUGACUGGAAAUAUUGGAAUUGAGAGAGCUAUGAAAACACGAAAAAAGAUUCAUAUUCUUCUGAUAAUGUUGCAGUGACAGAUUUUCUUUCUUCCAAGUAACAUCGUGAUGGUUUUUAGGCGCACCCAUCGAUCACUUUCCAUUCAUAAGAAGCACAUUUACAAUGUCAUGUUUAAGGAGAAAUCAGCUUUUCUUUUAUUCCUUGAAUCAAAAUCCGGUGGCCACUUGCUACUAUUAUACUUGGUCAUGUCAUCACUGUUGUUUGAGCUAUAGUAGCUGGCAUACUCCUCUUUCACUGCAGCUGCUGGAGUAGCUUAUGAGGAUGUCGGAUUCAUCAAUGCCUCCAACUAAAAGCUCUCAUCAAUUCCUUGGAUCUCUUGGUCGUCUUUGACACCCAAGUUGUUAGUAACAUCUCCUGCCAUUACACAUGAAUCAAUACUAAAUCACCAGAAAUCUUUCUCGCUAUGAGAUCGUUUCACUGAUGCUGUCAUCAACCUUCAGCUAUGGGUUUCGUUUGCUGGAUUAGCCGAGUCUGUAUCCAGUUGCAGGGUCACUAGUGAAGAAUUGUACUAUGACUAUACCUUCAUUUAUUUUGUCUCAUGUAUUUAUACAUAUAGAGGUAGGAUUGAUUCCCAAUUUUGCACAUGAAUCAAGGUAAUUGAUCCUUCAAUCAUAGAUUGAUUGGAGACCGAAAUGUAUUAAGAAUACAAUUGUUCAUCAAUCAUUUGUAUCCUUAUUUGCUCAUAUCAGGAAUACUUAAUUUGUUCCAAUAAGUAGUCUUUUAUCAUGCUCUCAUAAGAUUAAGUUUAUGUUAUAGUUAUCAAUCUUGGAGCGAUGUGAGCAGAACAACUUGCGAGCAAGUGGCCUUACGAGAGAGUAUGCUAAUUAAUCAAAUGUGUGGAUAUGAGAUACACAUAGUUGAUAUCUAGCAACUUGAUCUAUGAUAAAGUGAAAGUUAAUAGUAAUGCGCUUCGUAAGAGAGUGAAAUACUAGAUUUGAGUAUACGCAGGUAGUACUGAUAUUUUCAUAGUAAAUUGUUAGAGGAGAAGGAGGGGUGACAUCAAGUUCAUGAAGCAAGUUAGUAAUCUAGUUGAGUUCUACGACGAUGGCAAUAAUGACACAAUACUCGGCUUCUAUGGUAGAGCGUGCAACUUUUUUUUUUCUUGGAGCUCCAAUUGAUGUGGUUACUAACAAGGAAUACAAUAUAUGUCAAUGUGGAUGUUCGAUCAUUAGUAUUACUAGUCCAAUCAAUAUCAUUAAAGGCAUGAAGAUGAGAGGACGAUCAUUUUUAAAGGAAGUGAUUAUAAUUGAGAGUCCUUUUAAGAUAUCAUACGAUACAUUUAUUGUAGACUAAUGAAUAGCGAAUGGUCGAUGCAUAAGUUGUGAUAAUUUGUUGACAACAAAUGAAAUAUCUUAAUAAGUGAAAGAUAAAUAUUGGAGGGAGCCAAGUGUUUAUCGAUACUAUGUGAAAUCUAUAGCAGGACUACCAUCAUGUAAUUUGAGUGGCAACUUCUUUGGCGUUUUACAUAUUUGUCUUUGAUAAGAGAUCUUGAAUAUACUUCUUUUGAGAGAGGAAAAGAUCUCUACAUCCUACACCUAGAAAAUAGUUUAGUGGCCCUAUAUCUUUGAUAGAGAAUUAAUCUGUCAGUUGCUUAAGAAAUUAUUUGAUCCAUAGAGAGUUGUUGCCUAUGAUGAUGAUGUCAUUAACAUAGAAUCAAUCUAUAAGUUGCUUAAGUGCAUUCCUUUUAUUGUCAUAGAAACAAGAAGUUAUCAAAUUUAGAAUUGAUAAAGCCGGUUGACAUUAGAUAUGAGCCAAGCUCAUUGUACCAUGCUCUUAGAGCAUGAUGAACUCCAUAUAUAGCUUUUUAAAGUUUACAAACAUGAUUAAGAUAUUGAGAAUGAACAAAACUAGAAUGUUGUUGUAUAAAGACAUCAUCAUUGAGAGUCCAAUGUAAUAAUACAUCAUUCACAUAUAAUUAUCGUAAGAGCCAGUCUGAAGUGAUAGCAAAACUAAGGAUAACUCAUGUUAUUAUAGGUUUAACAACAUCAUUGAAUGUUUAUGCUAUGAGGCAUGCUUUGUAUCUAUAAUGGAACCAUUUGAGUUUUACUUAAUUCAAAAAAUCUACUUACACCCGAUGAUAUUUUAUAUGGGAUUGGAUGGUACUUAGGUUUAUGUGAUAUUACAGAGUAAGACAUCAUAUUCUUCACACAUGACUUUGCGCUAAUGAGAUGAUUUUUGAGCUUAGGUGAUUUUUAUAGGUUCUAUAGGUUCGAUUGGAGAGCUUAUAGUGGUGUGAAUAUUAAAUAUCUGAUCUGGUUGAAAAUGUUAUUCCUUAAGCAUGUUGUCAUAUGAUGUUCAGGCCCAAUAAGACGACUAGGUUAUAUUGAUGGUAGGAGAGUUAGUAAUCAGUUAUCAAGAUGUAUAGUGACAUCACUUGAUCGAGGAGGAGACAGAGACAUCACUUGACCGAGGAGGAGAGGGAUACAUCUCGAGUGGUAUCAAGGACAAUAAUAAUUGGUGGUAUAAAGUAAUUUGGGAUAUUGCUAUCUGCCUUUGUUGUCCGCUUGAUGCAACAACUAGAUCAAAUGAUUUGGUUGAUAUAGAAUAGAUUUGAUUAGAGGGAUGCAACCAAUAUGGAGCAAUUUGGAGUAGAUCGAUUAUAGUGAGAGAUCACAAGGGAAAAUCAUGUGGGGAAAAAUCAUGCAAGGAGGGAUAUAGCCUUCGUCUUCGGUCAUACAAGUGUCGGAGCAAAGCAGAACAAGAUGAUAUUGUCGUGGCAGUGGGGAGAAAGCACCGAUGGGAGGAGGCACUAUAAUGAUGAUCGUAGACAAGUGAGGAGGAAUCACUAAUGGAUAGAAGGUGCCAGUGAGUAAGAGAAAUCACUGAUGCUAGGCAGAUUAGUGAGAACAAGGGAGUGGGAGUCACUAUUGCUUGGGCAAAUCAGCGAGGAAGGAGUCAUCGAGGCAGAUCAAUGAGGAAGGAGUCAUUGUCGCUUGGGUAGAUGAGCAAUGAAGCUUUGAUGAGGAAAUGUUAGAAAAGAGAUAGAAAAGAAAUUACUGAAGAAGCUUGAUUGUAUUCACAUGUCCCUCUCCUAUUUAUACAAGUUAGGAGGGAGGAUUUCCCUCAACAUAGUAGAGAGAUAUCUUCGCAUAUUUGAGAAAAUCUUAUCUGCUAUCAUGCCCCCGAUGGUGCUCCUAUCAAGGAUGCUAAUCUUGGACCGAUGUAAUGCAAAAAGGUGGCGAGUGUGAGGCUUCGUGAGUGAGUCGGCUAACUGAUUAGCCGAAUGGACAUGAGAAACUCAUAGUUGACGGCAGACAACUUGAUCUCGUACAAAAUGGAAGUCGAUAGCAAUAUGUUUCAUGCAGGAGUGGAACAUCGGAUUAGCGCACGGAUAGGUAGCUCCGACAUUGUCACAAUAUAUUGUAGGAGUAGAGUUGAGAUGUUGAAUUCUUUGAGCAGAUUUGUGACCCAAUUGAGUUCUGCAGUGGCAAUAGUGAUGACACGGUAUUCAACUUCAGUUGUAGACCGUGCGAUUGUCUUUUGCUUCUUAGAACUCUAACUGAUUGGAUUAGCGUCAAGGAAGACAAUAUACCUCGAUGUGGAUGUUUGAUCAUCAAAGUUGCCUGCCCAAUCAGCAUCGGUAAAGGCAUGAAGCUGAGCCAAGUUCAGUUUACCAAGCUCUUGGAGCUUGACGAAGUCCAUAAAUAGCUUUUCGAAGUUUUCAAACAUACCUUGGAUACUGAGGAUGAGUGAAACCAGGAGGUUAUUGCAUAAAAACAUCUUCAGUUAGAGACCCUUGUAAAAAGGUAUUAUUAAUAUCCAAUUAGUGUAAUUGCCGGCCCUUAGUGGUGCGAGACUUAAGAUAAGUUUGAUUGUAGUGGGCUUAACAACGGGACUAAAUGUCUUAGUGAAAUCAAUUCCAGGCCUUUGAUGAAACCCUUUAACGAUGAGGCAUGCCUUAUAUCGGGCAAUAGAGCCAUCGGGGUUCCGCUUAACUCGAAAAACCCACUUACACCCGAUGAUGUUUUAUGUCUGAUGAAAGGGUACUAGAUCCCAUAUUAAGUUAUGGAGGAGGGCAUUAUAUUCCUCACAUAUGGUGGUACGCCAAUGCGAAGAUUUGUGGGCUUGAGUGAAGGUGGUGGGUUCAACGGUGGUAGAUGAGGAAUCCACGAUAGCAUGAAGAUCAAGGACCUGACAUGGUUUGAAAAUACCACUUUUAGAGCGUGUGGUCAUAGGAUGGUUGGAGACUACAGGACCGUGAGGUUGUGUUGUUGGAAGAAGUGGUUGAGAGUCAUUGACACAGGCUGGGUCAAGUGGAGGUAUGUUAGGGUCACUUGGCCGAGAAGGAGGUAAAAAUAACGAUUGUGAUCCUGAACUAAGUACCCCAAUAAUCGGAGAAGAGAGAAGUGGAGUAGGAAUGAGCAAUUGUUGAAUCGGAUGAGUGGAAUAGUGUGGAUCAUGAGUAGAGGAACUGGAUGAUGUCAUAAGAGGCUCGUCCGGUUAGAUCAGAGGUAUACCCCAAUGAAAAAUGGUUAAUGAGAUGGUCUGCAUGGUAGGAGAGGUAUGGUUGUGAAAAGGAAAGACAGACUUAACAAAAAUAACAUGACGCGAUAUAUAAUAGCGGAAAGCAUUAUAUUCAAGAUAGUAACCUAUAAAAACACAAGGAUUAGAUCAUGAUGUUAACUUGUGAGAGGUAUAGGGACGCAACCAUGGAUAACAUAGAUAACCAAAUACUCUGAGUUCACGAAGGUUUGAGGGUUUAUGAAAUAGUGAGUCAAAGGGGGAUUGGUAUUAUAGGACUGGCAUAGAUAUUCUAUUAAUAAGGUAGACGACAGUUUAAAAGGCUGCCAUCUAAAAGUUUGAAGGCAUGGAAGCCUAAUAGAGAAGUGUGAGCCCAAUUUCUACUAUAUGCCGAUGUUUACAUUCGGCGGAGCCAACAAGUUAGGGAGUACGCGGGGGAGA